rnacentral:lncRNA from 1 species
UUUUUUUUUUUUUUUUUGCUUCUUACGGCAAGACACAAGGUUACGACUUCACUUGGAAGAAAUUUAAUUGGGAGUUAAAUCCUUGAAAAACUUGUUUUCAAGAACGUAAUCAGACCAAGAAAUUCUAACCUCGAUCAAUCAAGGGGUAGGUCAGACUCAAGCAAUAAAAUCAAGAAAACAAGAAUAAAAGUUUUUUGUUUCUUUUUUUUAAAUAAAAAGGCAGCUAGGGUUUUGGUAUAAAACAAAUAGGAAAAAUAAGAAAAGAAAAAGAAUAUUAAACUGGAUCAAGAGCCAAAACUCUGAUACCAACUAGAGGUGCAAACGAGUCGAAUCGAGUCGAGUUUUGAGCUUAUCGAGUCGAGUCAGGCUUAUUUAUAUGAGAGCUCGAGUUCGAGCUCAAAAAAUAGAGCUCGAGCUCGGCUUGAUGUAAGAAAAGAAAAACUCGAGAUCGACUCGUUUAUGGCUCGCGAGCUUAGCUCGAAAUCUGGCUUGCGAGUAGCUCGAGUUUCGCUCGAUCUUCUAGCUCGCAUGAAGCUCGAAAGUAGCUCGAAUUCUAGCUCGUUUGGAGCUCGAGUUCGAACUCAAAAAUUUCUGAAACUUUAAGCAAGAAUACAGCAUUUUUUCCCCAUUUUUUGACAAAAUUUGCGCAUGAAAUAACUACAAUUUUUCACAUAUUUUUGAUCUUGAGGCCUACAAAUUAUGUACUAAUACAAUCAUAAAUGUCCAAAUGUCCACUAAUACAAAUUAUCCAAAAAUUAUGCACUAAUACAAAUUAUCCUAUCCAGAUAUCCACUAAUACAAUUUAUCCAAAUGUCCACAAAAAUCCAUUAAUACAAAUUAUGAUAACUUCACUGAUCAGGAAUAUAUUUAGCAUUGUCUCAACACAUAUUUGAAAAGACACAUCCCCUCAGUCUCAGUAGGUUACCUUUGUAAUCUUCCCUAAUGCCAGCAAUGGAUCUACGAACCAACCUGCAGGCAACAUGCAAGAGCUCUUUCAAUCCAUCAAGAACUUCAAAAGAUAGAAACAUACUCAUUAAAAUGAAAUUAUAUGAGGAAAUACAGGUCUUUUAGUCCAAUUUUUCAGCCAAAGCUCAAAAUAUUACAAGCUAUCACAAAUUUACAACACAAAAUAUCUGUUGUAGACAGCUUGAUACAUCCAGUUGAAAAGAUAUAUAGGCACGAAAGUCCAGCCCCAAUUUCGUUAAGCUGUUUUAGUCUUUGUAAUAACAUUCUUUAUUCUUAAAUGGAACUUACCCAAAAUUUUUAACUUUCCUGUUGACAAACAGAGGCUUAUCCAUAAAGGAUGCAGCAAAGAAAGGGUAUCUGCUUGCCAAAAUUACAAAAAGUGACUAAACUAAUUGGCUCCACACCUAACCAAAAUAUCUCAAAUCUCUUUUUGAAACGAAGGAGAGACAUAAAGAUUCGAUGUACGUAAAUUAGAAAACAGACCUGUCUAAAAUCUUGACAAUAUACAAGCCAACAAUAGUAUUUGGGUACAUAAAAAUAGCAAACACAAAAUAAGCUAUUCACAAACAUAGAUCUCUCAGCGGCAACUCAUAUCCAACAAUCAUAGUUCAGUACCAGCAAUUGGCCAGAACAGAGAAAUACUAAUAACAGAGAACUCAGGUCUGAGAACUAAAAAGUGUUAAUACCACUAGUUACAAUUGGCCAAAACUCUAAAUAGGAAAUUAAAGGUAAAUUACCUCAAACAUCUCCGAAGUCAAGAAAUAAGCAACACAAUCUCUUGUUUAUCCUUCAAUUUCUGAAAAAAAAAAUAAAAUAAAAAAAUUAAGAAAUAGUAAGACCGAAUUUAAAUAUUAUGUGUGAUAAUUUUAUUUUUUUGUUACCUUUUCCCUUUUCUGCACUCUGUGUAACUUACGACACCAAUCUCCAGCACACAUCAACAUUUCUACAGUUUCUGGAGCCAAGGAAGCACGGUAAGAGUCGAUUACUCUGGUUCCAGUACUAAAUGUAGCUUCUGAAGCUACAGUGCUUAUUGGAAUGGCUAAAAUGUCAGCAGCCAUCUUGGGAAGAAUCUUGUAUUUCGUUGUGUCUUUCCACCACUUCAAGGCAUCCAAAUUCACAAUGUCUAUUGUUGAAUCAUCUGCAGCUGUGAGGAGACCAUCUUCAAAGUAGGUAUCCAACUCAUUCUUGAUGGGUUGAACACUCUCAAUGGUAGCAAUAUAGGUCAGAAAUUCACUCAUACCCGAAACAUGGGACACUGAUGAAGAUGCACUACUGCUGCUCUUGGUUGGAUGAUCAUUGUCGAUUAGUAGUUGAGAAGAUGAUCCACUUUGGCCUGAAACAGGUAUCUCCACAUAUUCAUCAUAUAGGUCAUACAAGGCUUGUCGAACCUUGCCUAUAUUGCUUUGCACUUCAUGUGGAGGAUAAAGCAAUGGAAAGCAAUAGUUUAUAACUCUCAUCUUGCAUCUGGGAUCCAAAAUAACUGCUAUAGACAUUAACAAGUUACACUCUCCCCAGUACUUAUCAAAUUUCAUCUUCAUCUUUUGCACCAUUGACCGGACAAAAUCAUCUUCAUCAUCAACCUUACUAUCUAGUAGUACUUUAAUCCGACAAACUUCAUUUAGAUAUAAAUUUGCAGUCGGAUAAUCACUACCAGAUAUCACAUGAGUUGCUGUCCAAAAAGCUUUUAAAAUAUUGCACACUUUUGUAACCUUUUCCCAAUCUUCCAAGGUUGGACAGAAAUCAUAAUUUGGCUCUCUAUCUCUGUACCUGGGAAAAACAUCUUGAUACUCCAGUGCACAAGUUAGCAUCUCAUAAGUAGAAUUCCACCUUGUUUUGCAGUCAUAAAUUAGUAUUUUUUCUGGCAACUGCAGCUGGCGUACAAUUUCACCAAAUUGAAGGCGUCUUCCAUCUGUCUUAUUGAUAAACUCCACACUGUCCCUGAUUGUUCCAACUAUUUCCUUGAUUUGACUAAGUCCAUCUUGAACCAUUAAAUUCAGUAUAUGCGCACAACAUCUCACAUGAAACAACUUUCCUUUUGCUAAUAGACACUUGUUUCGAGAGAAAGUGUCCUUCAAACAUCUCAGUGCACUGUCAUUAUUUGAGGCAUUAUCGACUGAGACUGUAUAAAUCUUGCUCUCAAUUCCCCAAUUCGUUAAACACUUGAAAAUAGCAUCCGCAAUUUGGAUGCCCCGACAUGGAGGAAGGACGUGCACAAAGUUGAGAACCCGUUUCUGCAAUCUCUAAUUGCUAUCAAUCCAAUGCCCGGUUAUGACCAUAUACUCAUUUUUUGGUUCUUGGACUUCCAAAGAUCUGUAGUCAAGCUAAUUUUCUUGACUUUCUUUAAUUGGUUCUUCAAUUUUGUCUUCUCUCUUUCAUAAACUGAUGUGCAGUCGUUUUUGUUCAUAGUCCGAUUGAUUCUUUGCCAUUCCGGCAUCCCUCUUUUUUGCAUCAAAUUGAAACCUUCUUCCUUCACAAUUGAAAAUGGAUGCUCAUGCAUAAGCACCCAUUCAGCAGUAGCCUCUCUCAUGGCUGCCAUAUCAAACCUCCCAGAGUGAAGGUAGGUUUGAGAAGCUUCGGCAGAAUCAGCAGAUGGGAAAUUGAUCUUUGUUUGUUGUGUUGCUUUUUUGAGCUUUUGCAAUCGGAUAGCACAUGACUUCCUAUGCUUCAGCAAACUUGAAGUUGUACUAGUUUUCGUCUUCUUGAACUUUGCAUGGCAAUGAAUACACUCCGACAUAAGAGUUUUUUGAUGGCCAACUUCAACAUCUUUGAAGUCAUCCCAUGCUACUGAUUUUUUUAUUCUCUUUUUUUUUUUCUGAAAAGCAUCCAAGCCAUCAUCCGCAUCAGCUUCUUCCACGACUGUUUGAGUGGUUGUAUGUGUAUCACCUUCUAAUGUUUCAUCUUCACUCCCUAAUUCUUCAUCACCAAGAGAUAAUUCCAGCUCUUCGUCAAUGUUAACAGCAAUACCCUUGUCAGAGAUAUUCACCGGACUAGCGGAAUCACCAACUGAUCUAUCAAUUGGUGAAGACUACUCUUGGUUGGACGUAUCCAUCUUAUAUUCUCAAUUUCUUUUAACUAUACCAAAAAAAAAAAGGAACAUGAGCAGCAUUCUCUAGUCCCAAAACAGAUUACUAUUACUAGUAAACAAGUUAGUAGCAGUAAUUAUUUUCAAGAAACAAUAGGACAGCAAGGCUCAUAAUGACAAGAACAUACAUGACCAUGGAAUGAUAAUAAGUAGCUUGUACUGUCAAGUGUCAACACAGUUUUCACCCCCAAAGAAACAAGUAAUUAAACAGAUGUCUCCUUAAAUGCCACUAUCCCAUAGUUACUACAAGAUCUGGAGCAAUAUCAAGCCUCUUAGCACUGUCUGCAUUUCAUUUUAAGCAUUAUUAUUAUCAGAAUCCAAAAAAUUAUACUCCCUCCGUCCCAAAAUAAGGGACGUUUUUAGGGAUUCUAACUUAUUAUGCACAGUUCAAUCAAUUUGAAUGUGAGACAUUUUUUUCCAAUCGUGCCCCUUUGACCGAUAUCAAAUCUUAAUUGUUGUCUAUGGUGAUGUGAAAAGAAUCUGUGGGUCCAUGUAAAAUGUAAGCUCUUUUUCAUGCUGUUGCCAAGCACGCGCCUAUUUAUGGCCAUCAAAAUUUUUGGUGCUAUCCACGCACCUUUUUUUUGGAUGUCUAUUUAUUGCUUUUGUGGGUUCCAUCAUACUUGUUUUUUAUUUUAUCAAUGUCUCUUUUGAGGCUACAAAUGGAAUGUUAGAGAAAAAAUUGUAGUGUGGCUCAAAUUUUGGGACAUGAAAAAAGGUGAACUAUGAUAAUAACAAUGGGACGGAGGGAGUACAAUUUUAAGCAUUAUUAUUAGCAAAACAUGGGACAUCACAAAUUUGGAACCAAUCUAGGCAUAAUUAUUAUAGACAGUGUAGAAAUCAUAAGUGCCAGAGCUCAUGGUAGAGAAACAAGUGCAGAAAUCCAGACCCUUCAACAUGAUCGUGAGUCGUGACCAAGUCUAUUCAAAGUUUGCUAGAUCAAUUUCAAACAUAAUAACCACCACAAAUCCCGUUACAACCAAUGCAGAAGUAGAUAGACAGUAAAAAGGAUAAAAGACAAUACACCACUACUGGAACAACGGGGCGAUUAAGAGUAAAACCAUCAAUCGAAUGCAUCUAUGGAAACCUUUUUACAGAAUUAGCAAUGUGGAUCACCUUCCAGAUUCCAAAGAAAAGGAAAAGGAAAAGGAAAAGGAAAAGAACCUCAGUUCAUACCUGCAAAAUCUAGGGAGAAAAUCCAGUGGACUGCACUAAGAAUGUUGGACACGGUAGGGAGUGGUGGAGAUGGCCUCAACGGGUUGCACACUUGUGCCGCCGGAACAGCUUAGACAAAGCCCGGAGAUGGGGAUGAGCCGGGAAGCUGGUUGGGUUCGGACUUCGGAGAGUCCGUCAGUCAGCCUGGUGCGAGAAAAGAGGGAAAGUAAAGUGCUAGCCGAGCUGGCACUUGCGGUUGCGGAGCUGGCGGAAGUGCGGAAGUGGUGGUUGCGCAAUCAGAUUGGGAGGUUGCGCAUUCAGAUUCUUGGCACUGUGGAUCACCUUCCAGAUCCUCGUCCGUCAGUCAGUCUCCGGCGGUGGGUUGCGCACUCAAAUUCUUGCGCGGCUUGGAGGUUGCUGAAGUGGAGAUGGCGGAAGCGGUGGAGAUGCAGCUAGCAGUAGCACCGAUGGCUGUGGCUGAAGUGGGAGGAAGUGGAGAAACUAAAGAUGCAGCUAGCGGUAGCAGCAAUGGCAGUGACGGAAGUGGAAAUUGGGAGUUUGGGACAGUCGGUGGCGGAGGAAGAAGAUCAAUCGAAGGAGUGAGCAGAGCAUACAAGUUAACCUAAGCGAAGGAAGGAGGAAAGUUUACGAACAGUGGCCGAAGAUCGAUUAUAGCUUAGUGCGCAGAGAACAUGUAAAUUUUAAUUGAAUCAAGGGUAUUUUUGUAAUUUUACACUUACUCUAGCCCAACGAGCGGCUCGUCGAGCUAUCAAGCCUAAGAAACGAAGGCUCGAGCUCGCCUCGUUUAUCUUAACAAACUGCUCGAGCUGAGCAGCUCGAGUCAUCACCAGUCCUAAUACCAACUGAUAUGAACUCGACCCAACAAGAACUUAUCUUGAAGAACCAAGUUGAUCAGGCAGCGGAGGGAUCUAUUUUGACCAGGUUAUGGAUACAAAGAUGGAAAAAUCUCGACCUCCUCUAACCCCCGAGGUGUGAAUCUUGAAUUUAAUUUCAACCCACAACCUAACGAAUUAGCGAACAAAGAUUUGUUGGUAGAAUGGCAUCACAAUUCAACGUGGUCUUGAAUUGAUAAGCCAAAACUUAAACAAAUGAGACAUAACUCACUUUGUAUCAAGGGAUGUUCCCAAGGAACAAGAAAAGAAAAAAAACUCUCAAUUUUUAUUCAUCUCAUAAGUGUCUUACAAUGGAAUAGGAAGGGCCUAUUUGUAGCUAAAAACUAAACAACUAAGACUAAUCCAAUUUAGAUAAGGAUUUAGUCACUUAGACUAAUCCAAUUUGGAUAAGUGUUUAGUCACUUAUUUCCCUAACUAUUUUUGAAUGGCUCAAAUAGCUCACAUUGCUGGCCAUAUUUAUUCAUAAUAAUGACUAACUAACCAACUAAACAAGAAAAAUCAAACAAAACAAAAGAAACUAAAAACAUGAAGAUCAAAUAACAAGCGCUCCAUCCCCUCUACGACUUCAUGUAUUCCAAUUGAGUUUUGAACAUCAUGUAUUCCAAUAGUUGUAAUUUCCUUGAAAAAGCUCUCAAGCAUCUUGGCACGAUCUAGUGGUGGUGCCACUACUCGUAUCAGUUCAUUUGCAGCCCUAGUUUGAACCCUUGACUUCCCACUUCACCAACUCUAAGGACUUGGUGGUGGCCACCAACCCAAAGGCUGGUGGUUUCCUCUCUUCUUAUAUACAAGGUAGAUUUUGUGCAAAAGCUACUCAAUUAAAUAUUUUAGAUUUUGAGGUUUACAUUUUAUUAUUGUUAUAGUAGUUACACUACAAUACUUAAGUUUAAUAUUUUUAAUUUGUAGUGAUAUUUAUAAGCAAAGAUCAAGGUGUCUUGCACUUUUAGAAGUAAGAUCUCACACUUUAUGGUGUGCCACAUUGCUGAAUCCGGCCUUUAAAUCCCAGGUCUGAGGUGUGACAAAUGUUAGUCCUUCACCAGUGCAUCACACCACAAACUUGGGUUAUCACUCAUCAGAUUUUUAUAGAUGUUGUUCAUUUGGAAUUUCAAGAUGGGAUGAUAUUUACGGAGUCAAGUGACUAGAGGAUAAUGAACUCUUAGAGUUCUUGGUGUUUUCCCUGCUACUCUAUUUAAUUCAAUCUAGCGUUCUUAUGAAGACUUUUGGCCGAAAUUGUAAAGGUGCCGCAAUAAUGGUAUUCAAAUUCAAAUUGAUUAGUUUUUUUAUUAGUAUUAUUUUUUUGAAAUUAAUAUGCUAGAACCACUUCGCCCUCAAGGUUUAGUUUAGUGGUAAAACGGGCUCUUGGAUUGAAUGAAAUUCUGGGUUUGAAUUUUUUCCUAGUAUUAAACCUCUUGUCUAACCUGGAUGCGUCGUGAGGGGUUUCCGCGUAUCCCCCGACUUGGUGUGGCAGCUCAUGUCCAAAUUGGCUCGAGUCGGGCAUGUUUCGGGUCAAAAAGAAAAAAGAAACUACGAAGAGUGACCAUUAUCACAAAGUAGUAUUCCCAAUUUAUAUUGACAUAUAGAUAUGAAUUGUACAAGUAUUGGGUGAAAAUAUUGAUAACUGUGUAUGUAAAGUAUAAUUCUAAUUUUCAACAACUUAUAUCAUCCUCCAAAGCCAAAUAGAAUUCAAUAGUCUUGGGCACUGAUUGGACCACAAUUCUACUUGAGCGAGGGGUAAAAAUUAAGUGCAUCCCACCAACUAAUUAAAUUCUAUGCCUGCCAAUGUACAAGAUGUCUACUAAUUAAAUUCUACAAAAAGUACCGUUCUUCAUAAAAAAAAAAGGAAAAAAUAAAAGUAAGCUCAUAAAGUGAAAUACAAUGGAUAAAAUUUUCAAAAUAAAAUCCUUUUUUUUUGAAUUAGGGGCAUACACUUAACAAAUAUAUAUUAAAAAUAAAGAUAAUAGCAAAUUGUGAUAACAAAUAGAUAUUAUGAAAUAACAGCUAAUAGUAAAUUGUGCACCCUCACGUUAGAGGUGGACUUUUUUUUCAAUCUAAUCCGACUUGGAUUUCUUUUCAUCUAAUCCAAUUAGUGGACCGAGGGUACGGACAGUUGUUAGUGACAAUCGUCUGGAAUGGUGUAAAGAUUUUUGAACGAGUUGUAAUUCAUAUUAAACACAUCAUAUAUCUUUACAACAGAUGUGCAAUAUUCUGUUACUGUUCAUCAUAUGAGUCCUAUACAUAAUAAUUGCAUAUCUGUUGCAAGAAUGUACAAAUAGUUUAAUUUGAAGUGCAACCCGUUCAAAAAUACUUACAACGUUCCAAAUGGUUGUUACUGACAACCGUCGAUGCCCCUGCUCCUCGAUGGGUUAGUUGGGCACUUUUUCUAAUAUAAUGUUGCCGUUGAAAAACAAAGUAAAAACGAGCAAUAUAACUUGAAGUUAAAAUAAAUAAUUCAAAUUAUUGUGGUGCCGCUGUCCUUGGGUUUGAGAACUACAUGCAUCCUCUCGCUUGGGACUAUAAACGAAUUGAGCCCUUAGUGAACCGUUCGAGCUUGAAUCAUUAAUAAUCGAAUCGAGUUCGAUUUUGAACAAAUUUGAACUCGAUUUUAAAUUACUACUAGAAUUUCAUUAAAGUAUGAAUCAAAUCGACUUUUUCUAAUAUAAUGUUGCUGUUGAAAAACAAAGUAAUAAUGAACAAUAUAACUUGAAAUUAAAAUAAAUAAUUCAAAUUAUUGUGGGGUCGCUGUCCUUGGAUUUGAGAACUGCAUGCAUCAUCUCGCUUGGAACUAUAAACGAAUCGAGUCCUUAGUGAACCAUUCGAGCUCGAAUCAUUAAUGAAUCAAAUCGAGUUCGAUUUUGAACAAGUUCGAACUCGAUUUUAAAUUAGUACUAGAAUUUCACUAAUGUAUCGAAUAAAAAACUUGUACACAUUCGGCUCGUUAACGCUCAAUUUGACUUGAAUAAUUUUUUAUAAUUUUAUUUUUUAUAAUAAAUAUUUUAUACAUAAUAACAUAUUUAUGAUUUUUUUAUAGAUAUUAUAUAUUUGUUAUUGAUAAACCAAUAUUAAAAUAUUAAAAAUAAAUAAAAUUUUAAACACUUGAAUCAAACUAAAACCUACUUAAUAUUAAAUCGAAUCUAGUUUGAACUUAAACUUUAAACUCGAAUUGGAAUUCAAGUUCAAAACUCCAAAUUGUGCUUGAUAGUUUCAAAAUUGAAUGAUUAUUCGAUUCAUUUAUGGCCAUACUCCUAGACAAAACGGUCGUUAAAUUUUGGUUUGGGCCCAGCCCGAAACCCUUUGUUUCGGGUCUUAAUAAUCCGAAGGGUUAAUCACAUUUUAUUUCCUUAAAAAAUACCCUAUUUCUCAGUUUACCCCCUAAUCUUUAAUUUUGCUCACUUAAUCCCCUUUAGGACAAAAUUGCCCUUGUAUUAUUUUGACUUUUUAUUUACCUUGUUUUCCUUUCUUUUAUUUUUUUUCUCUUGUUUCUUUAUUUAAUUCUUCCUCUUUCCCACAAAAAUCUUCACCUUAAUGAUUGAAAUAAAAAAAAAGGAAUUGCAGAGAUCUAUUUUCUCUUUAAAUGAUUAAAAAAAUAUUCAAAUCACUUUUCUAAAAUACAAUUUUUUUUAGCCUUUCAAUUCUUUUAAUUUUGGAUUUUUCUCUUUCCUUUUUAGUUUCUCAUUUUAUUCUCAAGAAAAUAUCACAAGAUGAAAUUGUUUUGCUUUCUUUUAUUUCUUUUUCUCUUUCUUCUCUCUUUCAUCCUUCCCAAUAGAAAUUCCAUUUCAACGAAAAUUUUUGUUUUGAGUUUUUAAUUGCAUAUUUCGGGGUGAAGGUUUAAAAGGCAUCAAAAACUAAUUUUGAUUUUUUGUAUGAUGCCACGUGUCACAAAUUUCAAUUGAUAAUUAUUAAUCAGGUCACAAUUUCAUCUUAAGAUAUUUUCUUGGAAAUAAAAUGAGAAACUAGAAAGAAAAAGAAAAAUCCAAAAUUAAAAGAAUUGAAAGGUUAAAAAAAUUAUAUUUUACGAAAGUGAUUUGAAUAUUUUUUUAAUCAUUUAAGGAGAAGAUAAAUCUCUGCAAUUCCUCUUUUUUUAUUUUAAUUAUUAAGGUGAAAAUUUUUGUGGGAAAGAGGAAGAAUUAAAUAAAGAAGAAAGAGAAAAAGAAAUAAAAAAAGGAAAAUAAGGUAAAUGAAAAGUCAAAAUAAUGCAAAGAUAAUUUUGUCCUAAAGGGAAUUAAGUGAGAAAAAUUAAAGGUUAGGGGGUAAACUGAAAAAUAGGGUAUUCUUCAAGGGGAUAAAAUGUGAUUAACCCUAAUCCGAACUCGACGACGUUGUAUUCAGAAAGCUUCCCAAUUUGCCUGAAAUCUCAGUAAACAGGUCCAUUUCAGACUUGAGUUGGGAGUGGCGAUGAAGAGAAGAGCGGCUUCAUUAGGUACUGCUGCUGCUGCUGCUAAUUGUACUACUCUUGCUUCAUUUCUCUCUGCAUUCCCAAGCUCUAAACCCCAAUUAGCGUUCUGUUCAGCUAUAGCAACUAGUAGUGAUAAAAUUAGAAAUCAUCAGCACCAAAUUGGGACGUCUUCUGGUAACGUUUUGCAAUUUCUUUCUGGGUUGAAGGGUAGGAUUGAUAGUAUUGACAGUCUUGAUGAUGCUCUGAACUUAUACCAGCAGAUGGUCCGGAUCAGGCCUCUGCCCUAUGUCUUUUGUUUCAAUCGACUGGUGGACCGCAUUAUUAAGAUGAAGAAGCAUUAUUCAUCUGCUGUCUCAGUUUUCAGAGAUAUGUACGUCAGGGGCAUUCCUUUUAAUGACUGCACCCUCAAUGUUGUGAUUAAUUGUUACAGUCUCUUGGGUCGAGUGAAUUUGGGGUUUUCUGUAUUGGGUGUCUUCUUCAAGCGUGGUAUUCUGCCCGACGUAGUCACCUUCAAUACUCUACUUAAAGGACUCUUUCGGGAACAUAAGGUUCCCCAAGCACAAGAAUUGUUUAAGAAGAUAAUAUUUGAAAAGCUUUGCGAGCCUAAUGAAGUUAUGUUUCUGAUUGUGAUAGAUGGGCUCUGUAAGGUGGGCAACACUCAAAAAGCUGUUGAAUUCCUAAGAGUCAUGGAAAAAAGAAGAAGAUGUAAGCCCAAUGUUAAUGUGUACAAUACUAUCAUUGACAGCUUUUGCAAAGAUAAAAUGGUCAGUGAAGCUCUUGCCCUUUCGCAGGAGAUGAUUGAAAAGGGCAUUCCCCCAGAUGUUGUCACUUAUAAUUGUUUGAUUGGUGGUCAAUGCAAUUUAAAUAGAUGGAAAGACGUUACAAAGCUCUUUUCUGAGAUGACGGAUUACAAAAUUACUCCAGAUGUUGUUUCUUUUAAUACAGUGGUGGACGCACUGUGUAAGGAAGGACAAAUCGAAGCGGCUGAAGAGGUAGUCGGCAUCAUGAUUAGGCAAGGCCACAAUCCCAAUCUGGUCACAUACAGUUCCUUAAUGGAUGGAUACUGUUUAAAGUGGCGAAUAGAUGAAGCAAGGAGGGCCUUUGAUGCCAUGAUUACUAGCGGCAUUACUCCUGACCUCCAUAGCUAUGGUAUUCUGAUAAAUGGCUAUUGCAAGCACAAGAAAGUGGAAGCAGCCAUGAAUAUCUUUCGUGAGAUUCAGCAUAAAGGUUUAACACCUAAUAUUGUUGUUUAUACCACUGUCUUGCAGGGGCUAUAUAGCGUAGGAAGCUAUCUUAGUGCAAGAGAAGUUUUUGAUGAGAUGCGAACUGCCGGCAUAAAGCCUAAUUUUUACACUUACUGUGUGAUGUUGGAUGGAUUAUGCAAGACUGGACAUGUCGACGAAGCAUUGCAGUUAUUCCAUUCAAUGGAAGCUGAUGGAAUCGAUCAUCAUAUAGGCAUGUACAGUAUCAUCCUUGAUGGUUUGUGCAAACUUGGGAGGCUAGAUAGUGCUCGUGAUCUUUUUGACAAUCUCUUUGUUAAAGGAUUGGAUCCUGAUGUCCCAGCAUACACCACAAUGAUUGCUGGCCUGCUUUCACAAGGCCUGCUCACGGAAGCUAAAGAGCUUUUUCAGAAAAUGGAAGAAAAUGGUUGCCUGGCAGGUAGCGUUACAUUCAAUGUUAUUCUGCAAGAACUCCUUAAAGGAGGCCAUUAUGACGAUGCAAUAGUCUACCAUGAAGAAAUGGUUCGUAGAGGUUUCUUGCUAGAUGCAUCUACUUUUUCCAUUUUACUUGAUUCAUCUACUGAAAAACAGAAAAAUCCUUCUCUACUUAUGUUGAUGCUGAAGAUUGGUCCUGAUAGCAAGAAGUUUACGGACGGGGGAUAAAGAGGACCUUCACAUUGGUUGCAACUUUUGGUCCUACUGGUUUUUGGCCCCUAAACUUUAACUAACAUUAUUUAGGUUUGCUUUUGAUUCUGUUUACGGAAUGUAAAAAGUGUUGCAGCUGAGCCUUGAGUAGCUCUCUUGGUCAUAUUAUGUGAAACGCCUCAAAGUUCUUCAGUCCAGGUGGAAGAAGACGUUGUCUUUAAGGGAAGUUCAAUUUAUAACUGUACUGGUGUAGCAGUUCACAGAAACCUGCUGCUGUUAAUUGGAUAUGUACAGCUUCUUCAGAGAGACUUCUUGCUUAUCCUUUCAUAGAGAACCUCAGUGUAGCAUAUCACUUAAAAGGUAACUUGUACAGGCUCCUUUUCUUUGUUUUUCAUGGGUUUUAGUACUUUGCGCUUGCAUGUAAUUGUAGUUUGGAUAACUAAUAGCUGAAUUCAUUGGAAUUAAGAAUGAAACUUCAUCUGAAAAUAUAGUUUUUUAUCUGGAUUUAUAGAAAAAUUUAGUUACAAGCUGCAUUUAAACUGAAAUAUUUGCCAGAUUGAUCCUUCACAUUUUUAGAAAAAACUUUUUUAGUCCCUCAUAUUUAAAAUCAACCACAAUAGUCCUUCAGAUAUAAAAAAGUCUGUCCGAUUGACCCCAAAACUUGUUUUCGCUCAUUUCUCUGACUAAAAAGCACACGCCUCCCUCAUGUGCCCAUAAUUUCAAGGACAAAAAUGAAACACACUUCAUUUCCUCUUAAAAAACACAUCAGCCGCCAAAACCCUAAAUAUAAACCUAGAUUAAACAAGAGAGAUUUUAACUUCUUCAUUCUUUAAUAUCACGCCAACAACAACGCCGGUUUCCAAGAAUCUCCCUUCUAGAAUUUGCAGGUUUCCAAGAAGUCGAAAUCAUGAGUUCUUUCCCACAAUGACAUUGAUUAUUGUUUAUUUCAUUGUACUCUUCAAUGGCUGAGUUUCUUAGAUGUCUUUUCUUGAUUUUCUUCUUUUACUUGUAGGUGAUCAUAUUGAAAUUUUCUUCUUUGAUUCGGGGUUUUCUGAUUACAAUUAGGGUUUGAGUAAAAAGCCUAGGGAGACCUUAAACUAUCACCAUUGUCAAGUUUUGGUCCCCGAUCUAAUUUUGUCUCCGAUAAGCCCCUAAACAAUUAAAAAUGCAUAGUUUAAGUGUUUCCUGUCAUUUUAAACCAAAGUCAAGCCGGAAGUAAAGGGCAAUUUCGUCCAACUAUAAUUGAAACAUCAGGACCAGAAUUAGCAUUAGAUCCAUUAGACAAGAAUUCUAACAAAAAAAAGCAUCAGAUCUUCACCUUGAACCUUUUUAGAUCCAUUAGACAGAUUUCUAAUGAAAAAGCAUUAGACCAUCUUCACCUUGAACCCUUUACCAAUAAUCUCCUUGUACCUAAAGAUAGAAUCCAACCUCUGCAAGCAAAAGCUCUACCAGCAGUGUGGGGAACAACACAGUGACUAGCAACCCAAACAAUCAAGCAUCUUGGUGGUGGUGGUAGCGGAAAUGGCAUGGGUGGUAUUGGAAGCAUUUCUACCAUUGGAAAUCAUAGUUGGUAUGCUUUUCGUGAUGGGGAAUGCUCAGGACUUUAUCCACAAAGCCACCCAUGGCUGGUCGAAGCACAUCGAUAACGACAUUUGGGAUGUGGCCACGGAAAGAAGGGACAAGAAGCCCAUGGAUAUGCUAUCCUCUUCUUCUACUCCUAAUUAACAAUCUAACUUAGGAAGCAUUAUGGCCUAUCGGUGAAUUUUUGGAUCUCUUCAUGUUUUGCAAGCAUUGAAGUUGUGAGCAGACAAGUUGAAUUGUUGUCUUCCUUUUGCAGCUCACUUUAAGCUUUUGAAAUAAAAAAAAAAAAGGAACAAGCUAUUGAUGUUGAUUGUCUGGAUUUGGUGGAUGAUAAAAUAACUAUAGAUGUUUGAGUAAUAAUAAUAAUAAAAAAUCCAGCUCCUGCUACUUCAACUAUUACUUUAACCUGUAGACGAAAUAAUUAGCUGGAGAGAGAGAGAGAGAUACUUUUCUUGAUACUUCAAAUAUGGUUGGACAAUAAUACCAUUUGCUUCCGGCUUGACUCACAUAUAAAAUGACCGGAAGCACUUAAACUAUGCAUUUUUUAUUGUUUAGGGGCUCAUCAGAGACAAAAAUUAGAUCGGGGGUCAAAAUUUGACAACGGUGAUAGUUUAAGGGCUCCUCAGGUUUUUAAUCAGUAGGGGUUUGGCAGCUAAAAAAAUAGGGAAAAGGGGGAAGAAAGGGUUUGGUGGCUUACAAUUUCUUAUUUUUUUUUUUUAAAACAAAUAGAAAAUGAAGUAUGUUUCCAUUUUUGUUCUUGAAAUUAUGAGCGCGUAAGAGAGGUGUGCAGUUUUUGGCUGGAGAACCAAGCAAGAAUGAACUUUGGGACCAAUCGGGUAGAUCUUUUUAUAUUUGAAGGACUAUUGUGGCUAAUUUUAAAUGUUAGGGACUAAAAAAGUUUUGUGAGGGACCAAUUUGGCAAAUUUCCCUUUUCAAUAAUCUGGAGGAAAUUUUUUCUUGUAAGUAGAAUAAAUUUGUCACUUUUGUUGCAAUUCCUAAAUGGAACCAAAGGUGCAGCCAGUUUAAAAGUGUAAAAAAUUUUUGGACCAGUAUCUUGGUUUGGGUUAAAAUUUUGAGGUCCCAUGGAGGGUCUUGGUUGUUGACUUCUGUCACUGCAUUUGAUUGAAGGCUAACUUUUCAAGUGUAAUCCAGAAAAUGUAUUCUAAUCACUUUUAACUAUCAAUUAGACUACACAAGGAUCCUUAUUAGUGAAGCUUUAAAGCCUUUAAUUUGUAGGCAUUGGUAAUCUUGCAACAGUUUUAUCAGUAUAAGAACUCAUUGAGCUUUUAUUAUUUAAAAUUGAUGUCAAUGCUGUAUUAAAUUGUAUAGUUACUGGUAGGAAUCUGGCAAAAAUAUCUUUUUCUUAAAUUAGUUGCACUAAUCUGUCCAAGAAACUCUCCAUUCUUUUCUUAUUGUUAUCCUGAUAAAUACAUUUACUCGAUUGUUUAGUUCAUCUAAAAUAAACUUCCUGAUAAUGAAUUCUUUACUUUUAGCAUUAGAUUGUUGCUAAAUUGCAAUAAUAACUAAAGAAUUGGUGUUUGUUGCACAAGUAUACCAAUUCGUUGAACUUCUGUUAGGUUCCCGUCUGCAAUGGUCAAAAUAAUAAAGAAAAAGAAAAGCGCCUUAGUGUCUAAUCAAAAUGUUAAUAGUACACUCUGUUCUAGUCUGGCAAGUUGCAUAUCUGUUGUUUCUUUUUCUUAUUCUUGUUCUUUCCUGGAGAGCAGGAGGAAGGUGAAAGUUUGUAUGGAGUGUGAAGAUUUCAUGUCAGAUAAGACUGCAUUGAAACAAUCAAUUAGGUAUUAAAAAGCAGAGAAAAACUUUUUGUCGAAUUUUAUGUAAAAGAAUUCAGCUGAAGUGAUUAAGGCUAAUUUCUUCAAUCAAUUUUGGGAACAAUUUCUGUGGCUCUACUGACCAUGUCCUCGUUAAGUAUGUCAUGCUUAAAAUUGAUGGAGUAUCUCUUUUAGUUGUGGAAAAAGCAAACUAUUUAGUGACCUAUAAAAAACAUCGAGAAGCAAUCUUUCGUUGAUCUGUCAUAUAGCUGUUCUGUGCAGAUUUUUUAUUUGUAUGAUUUUGUUAAUGCAUGCACAAAUGAGCGAUGGGGUCGUCUGUUGCAAAGACAAUGACAGUUGCAUGUUUUUUGGUUAAGAAGAACAAGUCUUCUUGCUCAUGUUAAAAUUUUAUUUUGGUACCCUAGGGUGAAGAUUUCAACGAGACCUUGUACAGAUGUCUCCAGAUUGAACUUAAGCUUUAUCAAGGUAGAAUAAGUUCCACGUUGAGUUCAAGUUUAGCUCAGAAAGUAUUAUUCUUCCAUAUUGUGCGCAUGCUUGGAGUUAAGACGCCAUUGAAAUUUUGUCUACUUUGAAGGUCAACUUAGCACAUUUAAAAUAUAAAUAAAAAUAAAAAUAAACAAUGGAAAUGAAACCUGUGUACUGCUACAUCUUCAUGUGCAAGUUGAACUUCUGCAAUAGUAGGGCGACCCCUUACGAUUUUCUGAUUGAGCAUGUAAUAUAUUGCCAGAGGUUACAAUCAUGUUGAUUCAAUUUUGCAGAGAUUGUGAUUUCAAAUAAAGUUGUUAAUAUCUCAUCUCAAAAUCUAGAUAUACUACCCAUGAUAAGCCUGCCAUGUUAGUCAUAAGUCACUUAGAGUAGGAUUUUCCUUAUUCAUGUCAUAAAUUCUAGUUUUGUUUCCAAUAUAUUGAUUCUGACCUUAAUUUCUUGGCCAAAGUUAGUUGUCUAUGCAAUUUUCUCUUAGUGCAUUUGUCAAACAGGUUCAAGUCAUCUUCCAAAACGGCACAUAUGUUUCCAAACAAAUUCAAUGGAUGAUUUGAUUCAUUCUCUAAGAAGCCAAAGAGAAGGUGAAUUAGAUCUUUGUUUCUGCUAAAGAAAUCAUUUAUUUUCAUCCUCUUGCCUAAUAAUUCUAAUUUUCCUUCUUUUAAGAUUUAUUGUAUUAGGUUUUAUUUAUAUGCAUCGAAGUUAAUGGUUUAAUUUCGAUCUCUUUCGGUUUCAAACAGGUAAUAAUUGUUUCAGGAGGAUAUAUAUUUUAUGAUCUAAUUGUGGCUUUAGCAUUUUCUCGCAUAGGUUUAAGAAAGUUUUUCAACCAGUUGGCAAGGCGGGAUUAAGUAGCUAGGUAUUUGUAUACACAAUAUGGCUAAAUUCAAAUAUACAAGUCAUUAAAUGCAUAACAUAGCUAAAUUCAACUAAGUUGCAAAGAAUAUAUAUAUAUAUAUAUAUCUCAUCACCAUGAUUAGCUGAGUUACAGAACGAAAUAGUUUUGUAUAGAAGUUGGAGGGAAAUUUUCCAUUUGUGUGUAAAGAAGGAAGAGAUUUGUUUGAGAUCAAAACAGGCCAGCAGUGAGCAGAUUCCGUUUGUAACUUUUUUACUUCUAAUUCUAGCAAAAGCUCAACGCUCAUGAUAAAUGCAUUUGGAGUAGUAUAGUAUGAAGAUAUAGCAUACCUUAAUUAGCUAAGGAUGUAGUUUUCUUCUUCAUCUCAAUCCAAAUAUCCAUUCUUGAUUUCAUUAGUUUCCUUUGUGCCAGAUUCCCCUAUUGAAGGAAACAGUGUGCUUGAUUCUACAUGGAUUAUUUGAAACAAUAUGUUCUUACUUUCAAAUUUUUAUGUAUAGUACUUACUGCUUUCUUAAAUUUUUUGUACCUUAUCAAACAAAUUAGGUCCAAAAUAACUUUAGCAACCACGCUGAACUUAGGCACCUACUCCUAGGCGGGGCCUAAUCCCCUAGUUAUAUUAGGCAGAGGACUUGGACAGACAAUUUAGACAGGAUCUUAAAGGUGUGGUUGGCUUUUCUGGAGUUAGGAGGGUUUUUGAUCUUGAGGCUAUUACUAUGAACAGUCAAGUCAUCAUUAAUUACGGCUGUAUUGUUUUCCAUUAAUAGUAAUUGUUAAAUCUUUUUCAAAAAAAAAAAAGUAAUUGUCAAAUAUGGUAAAACUACCACUCAUCUGAAUAAUUAUCUGAAAUUUCAUCAAAUCAGUUGUACUAAUGGUCACAACAUAGUUGUAGAAGACAAUUUGCAUGAAUAAAUCAAUAGAAAAUAGUAUUCAAACUUCAUAACGUGCAAAAGAUGAAUAAGUUGUCGUAACAAUACUGCCAACUCUACAAGAAAUCUUGUGAGAAAAAAGAAAUAGUAUUGGCAAAUAUUUUAAAAGUUACUAUUGUACUGUUUUGUUAUCAAUACAAUCAAAUCUUUCACAUAAAAAAGUGGGAAUUGUUUAUUGCUACGGUUAAAAAUGGCUGGUUAUUGAGUAAAUUCUUGUAAUUUCAAUGGUGUUUAAUAAGUCAAAUGGACUGAUCAUCUUGUAAUUUUCACUACUUUCACUGUGAAUUUGAGAGACGUCCCGGCAAUACUGCCAUUAUUCCACUCUCUUCUGUAGCCUUCCAUUGCCAUCACUCUACCUCUCCCUUCGAUUCCCAAUUAUCCAUGAAUUAUAUCUCUUCCUUUGCAUACACUUUCCUGUGUAGACGAAGCAUGGUGGUGCCAUUGUCUUCAUCUCUGACAGCUCCAAGUGUUCCUCUGGGACAACAACAGAGUGCAGAGAGCCGAUAUUGAAAACUUCCCACCUGUCAUCAUCAAUUUUCCAGUAAUUCUUCCACCUCUUCUCCUCAAUUGAACCACCUGUCAUUCACUUUCACAGACACGUCAUACAAAUCCAGCAAGAAUAAUGACGAUGAUAAUCUCUUCGUCAAUGCUGAAUAAGUUUUGGAGGUAUGCAUGCAUCUUGGCGAGACUACUCAGAUUUGUUACUUCCUCUAAAUUUUGUUUUAUUCCUUUUGUUGGAAUCUUGGUUUGUUGUCGGGAUUGUGAGCACUUCUGUAAUGGCAUGCUCAAAGAUUUCUUUUUUUUUUUUUUCCUAUUUUGAGUUUGAUUGAUUUCUAAUUGGGGUGUUGAUUUUUUAUGACCUUUCCGGUGGUAUAUAUCAAUUUUUUUAAUAAAUUUUGUGUUUGAAUUCAGUUCUUCUAAUUAUCAAUCAUAAUUCUGCUUUUGUGGUAGAUACAGGAUAUAGCGGGUAUACUGCUUUCUACCUUUUGGUGCAACUGUUAGAAUGUCAGGCAAAUGUGCUAUAUUCAGGGGAAGAAGAAAACCCCAUGACUUGUUUUGCAAAAGACAACCCCUUGUCCCCAAGGUAUAGCUAUUUUUACUUGAAGAUGAAACAAAUCUAAUUGCACAUUAGUUAUCUUCCACACUCAUAAAUGCAUGCAUCUGCGGCUUCUGCCAAGUGUUUUAGUUUGAGAGUGUUACAGCUUAUGUAGUGAGAAACAAGGCUAGUAGCUACAAAUCUUUAUCUCAUGUUAAGAUGUUAGUGUGAUUUCAACAGAAUAUGACAUGCUUGAGAGUGAAUGUACUUUUGUGGAGCAUUAGGUUUUAGUGUCAACUUCAUUUUAGGUUGUGGAGCAUUAGGUUGCAUUCAUUUUGCAUAUGACCUUCACUGGGAAAUAUAUGAGAUGCAGUACUUUUGGACGCUUUAGCGAAACUUGUCUCUAUUAACUUGCUUUUCGCUUUGUGGCUGGAUGGAUUGGGGACGUGGUGACUUCCACUUCUAAUCUCCUUUCUCAUCUAAGUAAUAUUCAUUUUUUGUUUGAAUUUCAUUCAGGAUACCAAUAAACAUGGUAUCGGCAGCUAAGAAAAGCUCUUGUUUUGUAGAUUGAUUCGAUCUAUGCUGUGGAACUAUUUCUCAUAUUGAAUUUCUGAUUGCAAUUUUUCAGGAUUGGAAGGGUACUUAUUGAACUGAAGGAACAAAAGCAUGAAUGCUCAACAGGAGAAGAAACUGAUUCAUGUGCAACUUGCUCAGGUUUUUCUUUUGCGUUUGCAAAUGGAGAUUGUCUCACCACUUAAACAGAUGGUAACUGCAUUGAUAAAUAUCUGUUGACUUGAUUCAAUUAAUUAAAGUUUUAUAUGGCGUUGAGAACAUUUUUCCAGCUACCCAUUUUAGUCUAUUAUUUCUUGUCUACGGCAGAUAAAUGAGGCCAAAUCUUCAUGGGCACUUUGUGGUUUUCAUCCAUUGUUCCAGCUUUCCAUUCUUUGAGGCUAGCAGUUGUUAAUUGUGAAGAUCUAAAAGUGUACCAGGGCGUUCCUUUGUUCGAUGAGACUGAUAGAGUAGUGGCAGUGGUGAAUAAAUCAGGUUUAUAUAUAUUUUUUAUUUCUUGAUUAAUUUUUGCAAUCUUGUUUUGCUUAAUCUACUUAGGCCCUGUUUGGGACCCCAAGUUUUUUACAAGUUUGUAUGCUACUAGUUUUUUAACAACUUUUGCUACAGGAACCUCAAAAAACUUAGUAAAGUUUUUAACCUACCCACUUAAAAAAUUUUUUUCUUCAACUUUUCUAAUACACAAAAAAUUUCCCUUCUAACCUUUCUUUUUUUUCUACCCUCACCCGACCCAUCGUGUCCUCCGUCGCCAGCCACCACCACUCCCAGCGCCGACACCUAUUCCGGCACUGAUUCAGUGCCAGCCUUCCUUUUUUUUUUUUUUUUUUUUUUCCUUUCCCUCUCCCGCACCCCCUCUCCUCCUCUCCUCCCCUCCCCUCUUCCCCUCUCCCUCCCCCGCCACCCUCCCCCUCCCCCUCCCGCUAGCUGCGAUCUGGGGGAGGGGGGCUGCGAUCUGGUCGUGCAGUGACACCUUUCCAUACCCGAGAGAGAGAGAGAGAACAGUAUGCCACUAGCACAGGUUUUCUGCGGUCAGGUCUGAAAUGGCUCUUUUAGCGUAAAUUUCAUCCCAGAAUCCAAUUUCCGUCAAUUUGCCGUUAAGAGCCAUACAAGCAAGCGAUGUGCCUAAGGAUAUUAGUCAACCAAAUGACCAAACAAGAGCAGACAGACAGCAAACCAAGCCUCAUUGAUUCACUACUAAUACAUAUUCGAUUUUUUGAACUACGAAGGAAAUAGUGGUCCAAGUCCACCAGACUUGGAAACUUUGUCCACGAACCUUUUGAAUUUGGACAGCAAGUUAGAGAUUAAAUCAAAAGAACAGCAAGGAUUUGCACCUAGGGGAGGGGAGGGGUAGAGAAAAAGCUAAAAAAAAAAAUCCAUGGCUGCAAGCUCUGGCUUCGGAGGGCGAGGGGGAGGGGAAAGGAGAGGGAGAGAGGGAGAGGGAGAAGAGGGCAGAGAAAGGAAAAAAAAUUGCAGGAUGGCUGCUGGUUUCUCGUCAGAGGCAGAGGUGCCGGGGGAGGGGGAGGGGAAGGGGAGAAGAAGAAGGGAGGAAAGAAAAGAAAAAAGAAAGAAAGAAAGAAAAAGAAAAAGAAAAAAAAAGGAAAAAGAAAAAAAAAGUUUUUCAUCCUCAAAAUUUUUCUUACAACUUCUACAGUAAUCUACAGUAAAGUUUUAGACAAACACCCAAAAAACUCACCUUCCAAACGGGGCCUUAGUUUGUCAAUCUGUUGAAUGCCCUUGACGCCAACACUCUGAACAGUACGAAGGCAAGUUUUCAGGUUUAAUUUUCUGCCAAAACCCAGCCGUCUCCCCUUCAAUCCCAAGCCACACUCGUUUAUGCGACAAAUGCGAGCAACAUCAGGUCGUGUUAAAUUUGCAGAAGCUGGCUGUAUCCGCAAAUAAUGGGCGACCAAUUGGCGAAACAAUUGAACAAAGACGCCUCUUAUCAAAAAGAUGUACUGGCAACCCCGGCAAAGAGAACCACACCGGAGCAGAGCUAAAAAGGAUUCAGGAGCAGCAUGAAAUCCCAGCGAAACACCCCUCAUUGGAGAGUUGUUCCCAACUUGCCACAAACCCCGCGUCCAAAUAAGGUGAAAAUCUGAUUCAUCAUGAAAAUGAAUGAGCGAGCACAUGUAAAGGCAUUCUUCAAAUCAGAUUCUUCAAUCUGAUUUGAAAGGCAUGUAAAGGCACAUGUAAAAUCUGAUUCCAGAUGACCGAUUGUAAAGGCAUUCUUCAAAUCAGGAGCUUGAAAAUAUUUUGGAGCAUCAUCAGUCUUUGGUCUACGAUCCGAGAACUUACCAACUAGGGACAAAUUUUAAAGGAGCAGACAGUUUCUGAAUAUCCUCCUUGGAAAAGAGAGUUCGCCGAUUCUCCUCUAUGUGAAGCGACCUGUUUUCAGGGUAAUAGGUGAAGAAGUAGAAUCUGAAAACACUUCUGAAAAGCUUUUUUCUGGUGAAGGAAGAUUUGCCGGGUGCCCUCCAGUCAAUGGCUGAAGGGCUGCCAUUGAAGAAAGCUUGCUAAAAAUUUAAAAUGUAGGAUUAGAGCUGUUAAUCGAACCGGGCAGCUCGCGAGCCGAGCUCGACCCGGCUCGAUAAGAGCUCGGCUCGGCUCGUUAACAGAGAGAAACGAGCCGAGCUCGAGCUCUAAUAGGUACUCGUUUAAUAAACGAGCCGAGCCGGACUCGGCUCGUUUAAACUCGGUAGGCUCGAAAAAUAAGGGCAUUUUCGUCAUUUCCACGUGUAUGUGGUAAAUGGUAAUCUAUUCAAAGGGUCCGUCUGUCUGUAGCCCUAAUUCAUUCUUUCCUCAAUUGGUCUUUCGUUUUCUCCUCCUACAGCCAUCACCCGACUCACCCCGCAGCCUCCAUUCUCACACCACCGCACGCCGCAUCCCUCAACCUCCAUUCUCACGCCGGUGACGCCGCAUCCCUCAGCCUCCAUUCUCACCACCAGCCAUCCCUAAUUUUUUGAUUUCCCCUUUCUGUCAUCUAUUUUCCCAUUCCACAGCCGCCGCCGCACCCCGUAGCCUCCAUUCGCACGCCGCACCCCGUAGCCUCCAGUCUCACGCCGCCGCACCCCGUAGCCUCCAUUUCUGACAUCUCUUUCCCGUUCCACUGCCGCAGCCACCAUACGGAGCCAUCUCGGUAGAGCCAGCCACCAGGGCCCUCUACCAUACCCCGAUUCACUGCAUUCUGGUAAGUAGCCUUGAUGGUUUUUUAUCGUAGCCUUGAUGUUUUGAUAAUUAUUUGCCGUGGUUGAAAUUAGUGACAUCUUGAUACUUUAAAGUACUCUUCGUGCAAAAGUUUUAGUGAAUUGCAGGUACUAAGUGACUUUGUUGUGUAUCAGCAAACCUUUUUAUGUUAUAUUAUGAGAGACAUACUGCUUAGGCUUCUCUGGUGUUAUGCUAAUAUACAGAUGCAGCUUAAUAGUGCAUGAGUAAUUGCAAGAGAGUCUGAAAUUCUUUGAAUUGGGGGAGUAACUUUGGAUAGGGUCUCUGAAAAUACAAAAAUGCUAACCCCUAACAUGAGUAGGAUAAUUUUGAAGUCAUGUAAAACAGGUACUGUUAUUGUUCAGUCAUGUAAGAACAGGUACUGUUAUUGUUCAGUCAUGUAAAAACGGAUGCAUGCAAUCUGUUUUUGUAGUCAUCAACUUACAUACCACUGGUACUGGUAUUUUGUGUGAAUUUCAUUUUAUACUUGAAUUUUGUGAUCCUCUGGUACGUAGGUUUAGUAUGCAACUUUAAAGUGCAUGUAACUGAAUUCUGUCAUCCUUGGGAAGAAGCUGUUGGACAAUCUUUGCUUAUGGUCCUAACAGAUAUGGUGUGGCAUCAAGAGGUCCAAUCUAAGAUCAGCAAUAGUAUGCAUUGCUGUUUUGGGAGAUGGUUCCAUGUUGGCAGGCCCUGGCACAGGUUUUUAUGUUCAUAGAACCAUUUGUAAAUGAUUGACAAAUUGAGAGGAAUCCAAAUGCCUUGUUUACGAGUAUUGAAAAUCAUUAAUUUGGUUGAAGUGCAUACACAACUUUGAGGUUGAUUUCGUUGGAUUUUUCAUGAGAGUUCCUGUUUUCCUGGUCAACUUAUCAUUAGUUCUAUAUGGUUUGCCUGUGCAGCUUAAGCCCCUGUGAUUGUAUGACUGUCCCAUAAGUAGGGUCUAUUUGUUGAAUGGUUGCAAUAUAUAAUAUUUGAUCUUUAUUAGUCUCUAGCAUUAUGAUUUUUUUCACAAUUUUUGAAGUUUUUUAUUUUAUUUUAUUUUUUGUAUGUAAAUCUGUUUUAUAUCCCAUUCUCUUCACUGGAGCUUUCCUUAAACCUUUUCGAAUUCUUUUUGGUACAAUGCUAUAGAAAAUUAACUGUUGCAUCAUAUUUGUUUCAGUGGUUGAUUCCCCUAAUUUGCAAGUUCGUAACUAAUGGUGAUGAUUUAGUUGAUUUAAUGGUUAAGUCUGCAGUUGUGAUAAAAUUAGCUUGAAGUGCAGACUUUCUUAGCAUUAUUUUUUUUAGCUUGAAGUGGGCAUUAUUUUUUGAAAUCUGUUUUAUUACUUUUAUACCUUAUUUCUUAGAAAUGUUAUUCUAAAUUUCUGUUUUAACUAAUCAGAUUCUGUAGUGGUUAUUAAAUGUUUUUGAUUAAGGAAUGUACAGCUCUCCAUUCAACUCAUUUCAAGGUUCAUCAUCAAGUCCUACGAUGGAGCAAAAUAAUGAAGACGUGGAACAAUUGAAUUACAACGAAGAAAGAGCUGAUGAGAUGAGUGAAGAAGAAAUAGAAAUAAUAGAAGAUGAUGGCAAUGAAGGAGGACAACAAGUAGAUGAAGUUUUAACUUCUUGUAUUGUCAUUUGGUGUAGUUUUAACUUCUUGCUGCAGUUUAAACUUCUUGUAAUUUGAUGUGGUUUGGACAUUGUAAUCCCCCUGUGGACAUUUUGUUUCUCCAUUUGAUGGUUUUUGCUGUAGUUUUAACUUUAGACUCUGCCUUGUAUUGUGAUUGAGGCAUGGCUUGUUGAAUUGAAUCAGGGAAAUACGAGUAUUGUCAUUUGGCAUGGCUUGUAUUGUCAUUUUGGCUUCAAAUAAUAAAUCAGAGAAAGUGUAUUUUCUUGUGAUAUGGGCUCUCCCGUAAACGAGCUCGAACUCGAGCUUCGAGCUCGAGUUUUUCGCGAGCUCGAGCUCGAGCUUCGAGCUCGAAAAGCUCGACUCGAGUUUUUCGCGAGCUCGAGUUCGAGCUUCGAGCUCGGCGGCUCGAUUUCAAAAUUCGAGCUCGAGCCCGAGCUCGAGUUUUCUAUCAACACAUCGAGUCGAGUUCGAGCGCCUUGUAGAGCUCGAAUGACUAAUCGAGCGAGCUCGAGCUAGCUCGAUUAGGGGUUCGAGUCGAGCUCGAUUGUCCUAUGCUCGAGCUCGACUCGGCUCGUUUAACAGCUCUAUGUAGGAUUCCCAGAUAACCUGAUGGGUCCGCCAUUGAAGCACUAGAGGGGGUUUGGGAUUUGAGAAGCUAGGAGGGAGAGAGGGCUUAGAAUCUUGGACCUCAAUUUCAGUCACUAGAUCAACAUAUCUUCAACUCAUCUUGAUCAAGAUUUCAACAAAGACUUUAAACUAAAGUAUAUUCCUUGUAUAUUUAAAGAAAAUGUGGAAUGGUUUAUCUCAUUUUUUUCUCCCUUUUUGAUGCUAACAAAAAAGAAGUAGAUCAAAAAAUUUCAUCUCCCCUUUUUUUGUGCUCUUAUUAAUACUAAAACAAGAGAGGGAAAAAGGAAAAGAUAUCAACUUUCUAGAAAAAAAAAAGAGAGGAUAAAAAAAAAAGAAUCCAAUUUUCUCAUUAUUUCAAUGUCACUCUUUGCUCCUCCACCAAUUACCGAAUUCCAACUCUGACGAAUUUAAAAUAAUGAUAAUAUGGGAUUAUCCUUAUUUUCUCAGUUUCCAAAAUUGAAUUUUAUAUCUGCCUCUCAAAUCUCUUUUUUCUUUUUUUUUUGGUUGGUAUUAAUUGAGUGAAAAGAAAAGAAAGGAAAAGAAAAGAAGAGAAAAGCCUUUUUACUUUUAUUUUCAAGGUACUAUUAGAGUGAAAAAAAAAGAUGAAUAACAAUUCCAAAUUUUUAAUUUUUAAGUAUAUCUAAAGGGAGGGUGUUUUCAUUGAAAAAUCUUUAACAUAUUGAAUCGGCUUAAUAACGCUUUAAAAUGCCUAAGAUAAUGUUUAGGGAUAAAUUGAUAUUAAAACUGUAGUUUAUAGGGUAAAAUAAUAACUCUAUAGUUGUGCUAUGAGAGAGAAGGGUAUUUGUGAGAACUUGCAAAUUCCUUAUAUAUUUCUUGAAAAUUUCCUUUUAUUUGAAAAUUAUUUGAAAAAUAUUAUUCUAUACCAUCUUACUACUCAAUCACCCUAGAAAAAAAAAUGCCAAUGAUCAUAGGAAAUUAGGGUUUUCCUUUUCGAUUUCAAAUCGAAGUUAAAUAGGGUUUUUCGUGUAUCCGUAGUGUAAUUAUCUGGUAUGGAGUGAGGAUCAAAUUUGGUGUUUAAGAGUGACUUUUAGGUGAGAAAUAAUAUGUGAUUAGAAGCUAUGAUAUAAAGUUAGUGAAUAGGAAGUAAAAACCCUAAUACGUGUAAUUUAAGGAAAACAGUUAGAACUGACGUGUACUGUUCGUUACCGAGUGAGUGCAUCAAUUAAACCCUACUUUAUUUCUUUAAUCUCCUCAUUUUAUUUUGACUAAUUAGCCCUCAAAAUAUCUUAUACAUGAGUCACCAUGGUGGGCCAAAGGAAGAAGGAAGAAAACUCUAGAAAGGACAUAUGUCAAGCCCUUAUUGGAAGGAGCUUUGACUAAUUUGUAUCAACCAUCAUAAAACAAGAAUUUAACCAAAUCUUCUCCAUUUCUUCACCACCUUGGCCGAAAAUAGAGAGAGAAAAAGGGGAGAGAAACUUCAUCUUCACCAACUAAAUUUCUUGCUUAAUCUUAAACUCCAACCAUAAAUCUUGUGAAUCACUUCACAAAAGCUACUCUUUAGGGAAGAUUAGAGCUUUGUAUGGCAAGAUUUUGAAGGAAAGAUUGUGGUCUUCUCCGACAAGCAUCCUAGGAAGGUAUCAUGGCUUUUCACCCUUUUCUUUCUCCCAAUUUUGGUUAAAUAUGGCUAGAAACUUUUAAUUUUGAGUUACAACGCCCAAUUAGUGAGUUUUGUUGGAGUUUAAUUGAUGUUAUGAAGUUGCUAGUUGGAGGUUUUGAUGAUUUAAACCUAACAAACAUGAAAUUCUAGCAACAAAGUUCUAAUUCCAGGUUUAAAUUCUCACAAACACCAUUCUGCCUGUUUUUGUUUCAUCAUGAUAGAGGCCGAAUUAGUCUUAGAUCAAAACAUGAAAAUUGUAGAGAAUGAUAUUUUAUAGUUGUCUGCAAAAUUUCAGCCCAAUCGGAGUAACGUAGCCAGUGAAAAGACCGAAAUACCCCUGCUACCUUGUUUCUACCCGAACAUGCUAAUUAUCUUCUGUAAUUGGUUAGUUUGACCAGAAUUACUACUGAUUUGGUUGAUGAUGUCUCUUAAAAAUUAUAGCCUUGUAUCGUAGCUUUCAAAUGGCUUUGGGAUUACCUGAAUUGGAGUUGUGUGUGCUGAGAUAUGGGUGAAUAAAGCAGGACUGCUAGUUGAUUUCUGCAGUGAAUCUCAAACUGGAAAAUCUGGAAUUGUUUUGGUAAAUUUGACCUAGUUAGGUUGAGAACUGGACUGAGUGGUCUUCAUGGAAGUUGUAGGUCUUUGUCUUAGAUUUUCAACGCCUCCAAGAACGCCUUAAACGGACUUUGGUAGCCUGCGAUAUGGCCAUUUAAAGGUAGUAUGGUUAAUUAGCCGAUUAGUUGGAACCUGGUUCUGUGAAUUGGGAAUUUGACUACGUUACACUGGAAUUUGGACUAAGUGGUCUUCAUCAAAAUUGUAGCCGUCUGUCUUAGCUUCGAAACAGUAUAAAUUACAUCCCAAUCCGAUAAGCGUAGCUUCGGAUGUGUCCGUUACGCAAAACCCGUCAAAUCUGUCUUUUGUUAAACUUCAUUUCCGCACAUGUUGUUAGUUUGAUUUUUGUACUUAUAUGACUUUGAGCCUAUGGAAUGACUAUUGAAAUGAAAUGAUAUUGUGUGUGACUUUGGGAUUGAUUGAGGAAAACAAUGAAGCCAUAAAUGGCUAGAAAAAUAGGUAAAUACAAAGGGCGUGCUGCCCAAAUUUUUGUUCGAGGGCUAAGUUUCUAUUUGAAUUUGUAUAUUUUCAUUUGGCAAAUACUAUGACCGUUUUUCAUCUUAAAACAUGAUCCUUCUUCAAUUGGAAACUCCAAAUAUUUACUUAUGUUUACCAAAUAAAAAGGAGUGGUUUAGGGUUUUCUUGGGUAUUUUGUCCUCCCUUUUAUACGAAUUUCAUUAAGACAUUUAGUCUAUAAUAUCUACUUGAAAAUGAGACGAUUUUGAACCACAUAAAUGAUCCUGAAAAUAGUAUUUCUUAGCCUACCUAGUUGGAUUCCGACUCGCCUUUGGUUCAAGUGUUUCCAUCGGAAAAUUUUAUAACCCUUUUGAGUUGGAUUUUACGUUUCGACUAUGAAACCCUAGUUAUUUUUAUCCACGGGUCCAAAUGUUCUCGUUUCACUUGAAAGUCUUUUAUACGUUCUACUCAUCAAUUGUCGAGUUCUUUGAUUUCACCUAAUGGUUUGUGUUAGAUGAGCUGUAAUAUUCUUUCUUGUUUAAUCUUAGGUUUUCUUGGUAACUAAAGAUAAUAUCCGGAAGGAUAUUUUGUACAUUGUUUUGCGUAUAUAGGUGAGUGUUCCUGGUUUGUUAUAUUUCCUUGACUUUCUGGCUUGUUAUUAUUGAUUGAUAAUGUGUUAAGUACUUUCAAUGAUUGCUUAAAAUGAGUUUUCUAGGCGAGUGUGUACUUUAUCGCACUCGACCUAAAUGAAUGUGAAAUUUUCAAUGAUUAAAUCAUUAAAUACUAGUUGCGCAUGAAUGUAAGCCGUUUGGCUGAACUGGACCCUUGCCCGUCGUUGCUGAUCGACUCGAGCCAGAAGCGGAUUCGAUCGGGCGAUUUAGUGACCCUGGGUGAACGUUUGAUAUAUUCAAGUAUUACCUUGUUGUCGGGUGGAGUCUGGCCAACGUCCAGGAGGGGGUGAAUGAAAUGAACGAAUGAAUGUCAACGCAAACGAGGGUUUUACUUACCAAAAAUGCAUUUUAAAUGAUUGGAUGAAUAAGGGGAAUGACAGGAGAAUGAAUGAACGAACAAACGAAUGAAUGGCUCCCUGUGAGCAUCCUUUUAAUGAAUGUGUUUAUCGCUUUAUUUUGUAUUUGUAUCUUGAAUUAUUGGUUAUAUGUAAUGAAUGCAUUGAACCUCUUGUUGCCUAUGUGUUCGGAAUCUCACUGACCUUUUAACUCACCCCUUUAGUUUUGUUUUCCUUAACAGGGGGAUGCGAGCAAGGACGAGAGCCCAGUGUAGGUUAGCCUACUCUAGUUUUUUUGUUUUGUAAUGGUUCUCGCCCUAGUGCUUGGCAUGGGCUAGAUGAAUGACGAAUUGGGAACUUUUGUAUAUUCGAUAAUUGUACUUCCUUUUGAGAUAGAAAUGUAUAUAAGUUUCGCUUUAAGUUUUGGAUUGUUAUUUCGUUUGAUCUUGUGGUUUUAUUUCGGAUUUGAUUGAGGUUCGACUGAUAAUAAGAAAUGUAUAUAAUUGUAGGUUUUUUGUUUUGUAAUGGUUCUCGCCCUAGUGCUUGGCACGGGCAGGAUGAAUGACGAAUUGGGAACUUUUGUAUAUUCGAUAAUUGUACUUCCUUUUGAGAUAGAAAUGUAUAUAAGUUUCGCUUUUAGUUUUGGAUUGUUAUUUCGUUUGAUCUUGUGGUUUUAUUUCGAAUUUGAUCGAGGUUCGACGGAUAAUAAGAAAUGUAUAUAAUUGUAGUUUUUUUGUUUUGUAAUAGUUCUCGCCCUAGUGCUUGGCACGGGUUGGAUGAAUGACGAAUUGGGAACUUUUGUAUAUUCGAUAAUUGUACUUCCUUUUGAGAUAGAAAUGUAUAUAAGUUUCGCUUUAAGUUUUGGAUUGUUAUUUCAUUUGAUCUUGUGAUUUUAUUUCGGAUUUGAUUGAGAUUCGACUGAGUUCCGGCGAGAGCUGGGCAGGCGGUCCGCCGAACCCUCUGAUUCGCCUUAGGGAGAAGUGGGGCUGUCACAGUAUUUAUGUCAAAAUUUCAACAUGUUGAGUUGACUUAACUUUGAAGGUAAAGUAAUUAAAAAAAUAAAAUUAUAGGUUAAACGGAUGGUAGUGUUGUAGUUUAUGGAGGUAAACUAAUAAUAACCCUUAAUAUAAUGUUAAAAUUUAAAGUCUCAACUAUGGAAACACUAUAAAAAAAGGAAACAAAAGGCAACCCAAAAAUACAUUCAAGAUCCUAUCUAUGCUUAAUUGAGUUGGACUCAAAAAAUACAAAGGAAAGAGGAGGAAUAAUAGGAAAAAAAAAAAAAGAAAUCAAGAGACAUGGCUUCCUUUUGUGUUUGGAAUUUUUUUUCUACUAUAAUUUGUAUCUUAUCAAUUAUUUAGAUAAUUAUUUUGUUCUAAGUGCAUGCUUUAGACUUGGGGGAAUUUUUUUUACACUCCCUUUUUUGUUAUUUACACUCUCACUAUCAUUUUUAUUAUAUAUUUCUCAUUUAUUAGACUAUAUGAUAUAACAAGUGGUGAGAGUAUAAAUGACAAAAUAUGGAAUGCAAAUAAUAUUUUUCUAGAUUUAUUAUAUAAAUUUCCACUUUGUAUUAAUACUUGACAAAAUAAACACACAUAGUUAUAUUAAUAAAUUAGCUGUUAGCUAAUUUAGUAGUUCGUCACAUCGAUUUGAUUCUAAGUGAGUCGUGACUUAUUUUAUUGGUUGAUACAUAGAAUUGCUAGUUACCUAUUUGUUGAAGUUUGAUUUUGAUUUCUUUUUGAUAAAAAGUAAAUUUCAGUAAUGAAUUGCUAGAAAUCAUUCAGCAUGAUUUGAUUUAUGUCACUGUCCUAAUUCCAGGUAAAAUAUGCACUAUAACAAGUACAAUAGAUCUAAAAAGCUAUGAACAAAUAAAAACAAGAAAUUUUAAAAUUAUUUUCUAAUAAGAAAAAUUGCUACAACAUCUUUCUAUGCAUGUUAUAAUAGUUAGAUAUACUAAUCAAUGGUUUUAAACUUCAAUAAUGAAGAUAAGAUUUGUCGAGAAAGACAAAAAAUUCAAAAAAAAAAAAUCCAUCCUAGAGCUAGUUAGAAAUAGAACUAAGAUCUAAAAAACUUCUAGAUCUUGACAACCAGACCUGAAUUUAAUAAUAACUAAAUGGGGGAAAAAACAAUACAAAAAUCUCAUCAGGAACUCCUAGAAAAAUAGAAUAUUCUCAUUAGGAACUCUUAAGAGAAACAAAGAAUAUUUUGAUUUUAUUAUGCUUUAUUUGCUAGAUUAUUCUUAUGUAUAUUUAAUUAUUUGUGCCCCCUCAACCUUGUUUGGAUUGCGAUUUUUUGCAAAAUUUUUUUUUACCUAUUUCGUGAAUACAUUUUAAAAUUAUUUUUAUCUUGCAUAUAUCAAAUCGCUACAGUAUAUUUUUCCACAAAACUCUUAAAAAAUAGAUUUUGGUCUUUCAUUGGGAGCGCCACAGAUAGAUCUACACAAUACGGCUUUCUUCAGUUCAAGCCUCACCUAGGGGUAUAAACGAGUCGAAUCGAAUCGAGUUUCGGCCUAACCGAUUCGAGUCUUAACGUAAUUUUACGAAACUCGAACUCGAACUCAAGCUCAGCAAGCUCAAAAUGUCAAACUCGAGUUUAAAUUCAACCUUACAAAAAUUUAAAAAAUAUUAUUUUAUUUUUAAAAAUGAAUAAAAUAAUAAUUUUUCUUAAUAAAUAAUAAAAUAUUAGGAAUAUAUAUGUGUAUAUAUAUAUAUAUAUAUAUAUAUAUAUAUAUAUAUAUAUAUAUGUCUGUGUGUGUGUAUAUAUAUAUAUAAUCGAGAUCAAGUCGGCUCGGGAGCUAACGAGUUUAGUAUUUUUUAAUUCGAAUUCGAGUUCGAGUUCGACUUGAUUAGUUCGAAUUGGAUGUUGACCAAGCUCGAGUCAAGCUCAGAUUCAAUUGAGAGCGGCUCAAUUCAUUUGCAACCUUGUGUUAGGACAUGAAUUAGUUGUAAUAAAUGCUCAAAUUGGGCAUAAAUCAAUUGAAGUCAAAUGAUGUCAUUUUGGUUUAGUAGUUAGUUAAGUCGGUUAAUUAGCAAUUUGCAGGUUGUUAGAAUUGGUUAUAAAAGGGGCCCAUGCAUGUGAAGAAGACAGUUUUUGAGUAAUAACAAAUUCCAUCUCAUUUUUCCUCUGAUUCUCUCUCUUUCUUUUCACUUCCUCUGAUUCUCCCUUUUCUCCUCUUUCCCCAAUUCGUCCCCAAAUUCAAUUCUAAUCAGUAACUCAGAUUCAAGCCAUUGUGCUUGAGUUCUUGACUAAUUGGUAUCAAGAGCAAGAAGAUCCUUGGAACCUACCAUUAGCAAUUGGUGGAGCAAGUAAGGAAACAAGAAAUCAAGCUACAGUAAUUGGUAGAAUCUCUCCAUGCAUCACAGUCGGAGCAGUAGCAAAUUAAGAAGGAUCUGAAACAAGAACUAGAAGAGAGUAGCAAACGAAUGGAAAGCCUACUAACAGGAAUGGAGCAGAAUUUCCACAAAAUUCUGGAGCAAAAGCUGAACAAUUUUUUGCUAAGGAUUCCUCCUAUGAAGAAGAAGACUACCGAAGGGGAUGGAAGAGUGCCAGUAGAUCAUACGCCACUUUUACCAACUCCACCAGCUCACCACAGGAUACAAACAGAAGGUGAAGCUCAAAAACUCCUCAAGAAAAACUGGAGUAAGUUUCAGAUCCCAAAUCCUCCUAAAAUUGACUUACAGUUGUUUUCUGGAGAACAUCCUAGGGAUUGGUUGAGGAAAUGUAAUAAAUACUUCUUGAACUAUCAAGUUCCAAACGAGCAUAAAGUUGAAAUCAUUGAAAUGUACUUGGAAGGCAAAGCUGACAAAUGGUUUCAAGGUGUAAAAAUUGAGAAGCCUAGACUAGAUUGGGAGGAAUUUGAAGAUCUGUUAUGUAGGAGGUUUAAUGAUAGAACGUGUAAGGAUAUAGUGGAGAAAUUCAAUAAACUACAGCAAGUAGGUAGUAUUGAUGACUAUCAGGAGAGAUUUGAGGAAUUGAAACCUCUGAUGAUGAUAAAAAAUAGAAACCUGGAUGAAAACUAUUUCAUUUCUAGUUUUAUAAGUGGACUUAAGGAAGAAAUUAAACCUGUGGUCAGGAUGUUGAAGCCUACUACACUAUCUAAAGCCUUUGAGCUAUCUCAAUGGCAAGAACAAGCUAUAAGGAUCCAGAGCAUAGGGCCUAAGGAGAACACCAGGUCAUUAGGAGAAAACGCAUUUGGUAUAACAAGGUGUACUACUACUUUUGUGGGAACAAAUUCUUAUAAUGUCCCUGCCACUAAUAAUUUUAAGCACUCUAAGUUCAAGAGUUCGCCAGGGGAUACCAGAGAGACAAAAAGGAUAUCUGCUCACGAGUUAUAGUAUAGGAGGAGUAAUGGUUUGUGUUUCAGAUAUGGAGAGAAGUAUGGGGUAGGACAUCAGUGCAAAGUGGGGUACUCAAAUUGCAUGAUAUUGGAAGAAGAAGAGGAUGUUGCGUUUGAGGAUGCACUUGGAGAACAAGAUGAGCAGACUGGGAAUCCUGGACAGACCAUGGAGAUGUCACUGCAUGCCUUAUUUGAGGCUCUAAAAAGGAAAACUAUUACACUCACAGGCGUCCUGGAUGGAGAGGAAGUACUGAUAUUGGUGGACACUGGGAGCUCAGACAGCUAUAUUAGUAGUGAGCUAGUAAUUGGAAUGGACAUAAGCUAUCAGUGGGUGGAUCAACCUUUUUUUGUCAUCAUGGGAAAUGGAUCAAGUGUCACCAGCAAUGCUAUAUGCAAAGGGGUGAAUUGGAGGAUUAAUCAACACAACUUCAGGUAUGACCUCAAAGUGAUGGAACUUGGAGGUUGGUGUGGCGACCCCACUUCCCCCUAAGGCGAACCAAAGGGUUGGCGGGCCGUCUGCCCAACUCUCGCCAGGACUCACGCAAGCAUUCUAACCCAAAUCCUUUCGAAAAAUAACCUAAUCUAUUACAAAACAAUUUUCCCCGAAGAAGACCAUCACUAAAACCACAUUAACUUCAGAGAUAGCAGUAAUUUAAAAUUGCCAAUCGACGGCUCUUAAACAUCUCACGUGUUACAUCCAGGGAAUAAGGUCGUACAAUCCCGGAAAUACAAUUUCAUGCACCACAAGUACUAACAUACAAGCCAAACAUUCGAAUUAGGGUUUUACACAUUUUCCAGCUUCAAGUGGCAAUCCAAAAUAAAAGUACAUUAUCCGAAUUAAACACAUUACAGCCCACAAAAGUAGUCAUAGUACUCAGAUACAUCCCAAAAAGAAAACAUGAGUAAGUCUCAAAGCUUUCAACUUCCAGAGCCUGUUAAGGAAAACAAAUAAACGUGGGGUGAGCUAAAACUCAGUAGUGCCCCAAAGCAUGCAAUCACAUAAGGCAAGUAACGAGUAUUAAGACUCAAUAUUUAAGAAAGCGUAUAACAGCACAAGGUAGGAUACAGGGGCUCUCAGGAGCCAUUCCCCUUGCUGGAUCACAAUUCAUCGUAGUUGACCCUCCGUCAAAUCUCACUACUUAUAGUCCAUGUAGAUCCACUCAUUUUUACUCCUAACCCGUCACUGUUCAUACCCCUGUCCCGGGCCCGAACACCGACUAAGGACGCAGUAUACUCGAGAUAUACCCGUAGAUGAUUGGUCGAGGGAUUCACCCAACGACGUUAUUGCAGUUAGAUUCAUGCGUCGAGGGAUUCACCCAACGACGUCACAAAAUAAGAAAUUACCAGGUCAGGAUAAGAGGCCCUCCCACCCUUAAGGUGUGGUACAUUCCCCUGCCUAGUGAUUUAGUACUUGAGAUAGGAUAAGAGGCCUUCCCACCCUCAGGUGUGGUACAUUCCCCUACUCAGUGCUUAGCAAGUAUUCCAAGGUUUUAGCAUUUGAGAUAGGAUAAGAGGCCCUCCCACCCUCAGGUGUAGUACAUUCCCCUACUCAAUGCUUAGCAAGUGCAAGCAGGAUAUUUCACGAAAACAUUUCAAGCAAGUCACCACUCGAACGGCUAGUGCGAUAAAGUACACACUGCUCGCUUCGAUGGAUCAAAAACUAGUUUUGCAAAUUAUCACAUAUCGAGUCAAGAAAGCACUUUAACCAAGUAAGCAUAGAACAGGCAGGGACACUCACCAAGAGUGAAGUUCAGAUAUCAAAUUGGGAAUCGAAUUCCGCGUCCUUACAAUAUCCUAAAAACCAAAUUUUGAAACUAUAAGUUCUCUAUUCAAUUUUUAAGCUUGUACGUAUCGUGGAUUAUAUAGUAUUUUACUAGUUAACCUUCCCAAAGAAAUUUCAAAAAUCUACUUGGGUUGAAACUUGACAAAAGUAGUAAAAUGUUUCUUAUGGUUUUCCUUGAGGUACUUUUCCUUUUAAAAAAAGUAACUAGUAUUAUUUUCUUGAAAUAAGUCGACAAACCACUUGAUAUCAGAGCUAGAAGGAUACUUUGAAAGUUUUCUUUAAAGUUACGGUACAUGCCAAAAUUUGUCAUUAAAACUAUUUUACCUAAAAUAAAAUUUCUUGCCGAGCAAGUUUCUAUGCUUUUAACUAAAAUUAUUAAAACUCGUAUUUUGGAACUUUUCCUAUAGUCAACUAGCCAAGAACAAUUCUUAGAGAAAAGAAAAGGAGUAAAACAAAGCCUAGAGUUUUAGAAACUAGUGAAAUCAUUUUCUAAAGGUAAUAAGGCUAGUUUAAGCUUAAAGGAAGAAAUAUCGAGUUGGCAAGGUUUAGAAAAUCCCUAUACGAAGUUUCUAACUUUAAUAUACAGUGCUAAGUUUUAUCGUACCAUACUAGAGUGAAGAUAUAUUUAAAUAGCUUGCUUAAAAACUUCUCAAGUUCACAGGGCCAAAAUGGAUUCCUUACGAUUCCGAUUUACAAGCACAUAAUAUUUCAGAUUUGUCAAUAUAACCAACUCACAUUUCAAAUAGAAAUCUCACUAGGGCUUCGUCAAUCCUUAGCCCUUGACAACCAUCAAUCAUUUCCAACCACAAUUCAAUCAGGAAUUCAAAUCACAAAUAAGCUAAAUGUUCGAUCCAAGUCAAAAUUCAGUUUCAUGAAGAAACAGGACAUUCAAGCAGGACAGCCUGCUUUGAGGAGUCACGAACAGCAGUACAUAUGGAGGAAAAAUAUGAAAUUUCUACAGAACAAAGGUCCAUGACUCUAGUUUCAAAUGCCUCUGACGGCACCUUAAUCGGAUUUUCCUACAUCAAGAUAUAAGCAUUUUACUGAGACUGGUCAGUGAAAUCCGAAAAUCUGGAAACUCAUUUUUCACUUGUGAAAAACUCCUUUUUCUCUUUUAAAACCAUAAGAAUUUUAUUCAAACCAUCCAUACAUUUAAGUAUGAUAUUCAUACCAGCAUAUACCAAGGCAAAUAAUGCUUAAUUCCAGUAAACGGUUCAGCCAAGAAAUCAUAUAUAUACUAAUCUGUCAUCAGCUAAGUAUAACAAUCAUCAGUUGGCAAUUCAACAUACGAUUACUACCUUAAUUCCCUUCAUUUUAAGUACAAGUCUUUCAUGCAUGAAGAAAUCUAGACAUUAUACAAUAUUUUACAGCUUAGUUCAGAAUUUUAGAACCAAAAUUCGCAGAAGAAAACUGAAAAAUUCUUUUCUUCUUCACUCGGCUACACUGGAAAAAUUCCAGCAGCUUAGUCCAUCUUUAAACCGAAUUUUCCUCGGCUGAAACACUAAAUUAUGUACCCAAAGCUAACAUGCAAGACUAAUAAAUAAAGUCACUAUCAAUUCCAGUUUAAAACAGGGUCGGUCACCAACAAAAUGUAUCCAAAAUUCCAGAAUUAAUUCCACUAUUCGCAGAUGACAUGCAUGUAGCAGAUUUUUGUUUUCCCUUCAAAUUUCUGGCUUAUACACAACUAAUUGAUCUCAUGCAGGGCUUAAUCAUCCAAUAUUUAGCUAGCUACACACACAACCAAGAGAGUCAAAUACUUUUCUAGUAAAUUUCAUACUACAAUAUCCAUACAAUUCCCAAAACAACUCCAUCGGCUAAGCUGGAAAAUUGAUUAAGCAGUCCAGCAACUUCUAAUAAAAAUUUCCAGCCAUGCAACCGAAAUCAUAGCCAUAAAGUUCACAUGCAACACCAAAUAAAAGGCUAUCUAUCAAAUUGGCUCAAGACUAAGCUCAGAUCAUCACAAUCAAACAAACUAAAGCUGAAAUUCCCAGCUCAAACGCACGGCCAUCAAAAUUUUCUUUCCAGAACUUAAGUGUUCAUAAAUCCAAUAUUUUCUUGGCUAAAACAUAGCAUUACUUACUCAAAUUUGACCUGUAAACACUUAGUUAACGGAUUAACAUUUCCAGUACCGAAUCAAGUUCGAAUAACAGCCAUCAUCAUCAAAAUUUCUAAAAAUUAUUCCAGCUUGGCUCGGAUGAACAUACGUGUAGCAGAUUUCUAAUUCAUUUUAUUUUUCUGAUUUAAACCCAUUAAUUAGCUACAUGCAAAGCUCAAUUAUCAUGUUAUUAACUAGUUAAUUAUGGUUACAAACUCAAAACAACAAAAUUGAAUCAAAUGAAGCUGUAAAAUACAGGUCAAGCUCUCGGCUGCAACAAUUCAUAAAAACAGAAUUUCUUAUGUUUCUUGAUUCAUCAUCCGGCUGCACAGAGUUAACAUGCAAGGCCUUAAUCAUAUUUAAUCAUCCAAGCUUAAGUUAGCUAAUCAUAAUUUCAGGUUCUGAUUACCACAACAAAGCAGAUUACAUCAUGCAUUUUUUAAUCGAUUCUCGGCCAACCAUUUUCUUUUCAAAACAGAAUUUUUUUUUUAUGCUUUAACAACAUCAUCCGAAUGCACAAAUCAACAUGCAUGGUCUUAAUCUUCAAGUUUUCACUCAGCUAAUGACACUUAGGUGUUCAGAUUGCCACGAAAAAACAAAAUUGGAGCUGCAUUAUCACCUCAGUUUCUCCGCAGCAACAUUUCAUCAAAACAGAAUUUUUCUGGUGUCCUGGUUUCAUCAACCGACUUCACAAGCAACACAUGCAGCUCUGAUAUGGCUUCAUCUACUAAAAUUUAACUUAAUAUAGCCCAGAAAUUACCUCAGAAACAACUUAGCUCACGCACAAGAAAUCUGAAAAGAAAAUUUCUGUUCUCCCUCUCGGCUCUCGGCUCGCUUGUGGCUGCAGGUUGGUUGCUGCUGUGAUGGUGUUGGGUUCUGAGGUUGUUUUGUAGCUGGUUGAGGUUGCAGCAAGCGCGAUUUCCUUUCUUUUCUUUCCUUUCCUCUCGGCUUGCAGAGUGCAGCUCGGCCUCUCACUCUCUCUCAGUCAAUAUUCACGAGGUGGAGGCUGGAGAGGAAAUGUUUGUGGUUGUGGUCUGGAUGAGUUUGUGCAGAGAAAAUGGGAAUGGUGGUUUGUGAUAUAGGCAUGAGGUAGAAAUAUGGUGCCGCGGUUUUGGAGAAGGAAGAAAGAAUGGUUUACGGUUUUGGAGUGUAUGAAAUGGUUGCGUAUAGAAUUGGUGAAAAUGUGAUUGGUCGAUUGGGGCGGUGAUUGAAAUGCUAUCAGAGGGUUUGUUUGGUUUUGCAUGGAAAUGUUGUGGUUGCAAGGGCAUUUUAGUCUUUUCACUUUGCUUCCUAACCUCUACUUAAAUUCUCCAUUCUAAUCUUAAAACCAAAAAUUAUCCCUAAGCGUGAUUUGAACGCCUAAUUAUACACUAGUAUACUUAAACAUUUUUUUAUCGAAUAUUUAUCGAUUAAAAAUUUAAUAUUAAGGUUCCUAAUAAUUCCUAACAUUAUUUAGCGAUUAAAUUAGUUAUCAGAAUUUCCAAUUAUUUAUUCUCAAGAGAUAGAGUUAGUCUAACUCGAAAUUUAUCAAUUUAGUAAUAUAAAGUCAAGUGAAAUAAUAAGUUAAUACAAGUGUGUCAGUUUGCACACAAAAAUUAUUUUCACGCACUUAUUGUGAAAACAAAGAAGGAUAAAACUAUAAUUAUCAAAAUUUCAUGCCUUGAGUAAGUUUCGCAUACUUGUAUAAUAUUUAUCUAAAAUUCAUUGAUUUCGUCUUACCGUGAAAAAUUUCCUUUUUAACCUAUAAUGCUAGCAACUAAUUGGAAUUAAUCAUUGAGUUUCGAGUAAUUUAUUUUAAAGUAAUAAGAUUAAUCGGCUCAAGUAUCAUUAAUUUAGCAUAAUGGCAACUAAGAAUUCCAACGUUUUAUGUUAAGGCGGAAAAUUAAUCUAACUCUAAAGAUAUUAAUUUAGUCUAGCAAAACCAAGAAAUUUCAUAACUUAGGAAAAUUAUAUUAUUUUUCACAUAAACCUGUUUUUACGUACUUAAUUGCAACCAAGUAAAAGUAAUGCUAGAAAUUAUUAAGGAAUAAAAGAAAUGCAAAUGAAAUAUGCACUGGCUUAUAUAUAUUUUCGGGGUUCUCACAGUUGGGACAUAAUCCUAGGUGUGGACUGGAUGACACACUUCAGUCCUAUCACAUUCGACUUCCAAUAGCUCAGGAUAUCUCUGCACCAUGAGGGAGAUGAAAUCCACUUACAUGGCCAAGCAGAUAACUGUGAUAUGGACUUGAUCAGAGGCAAAGACUUAAGAACAUUUAUAGAGUACAAGAGGCAGAUGUGUAUGGCUAUGAGUGGCAAACAGGACAAGGACAGAGAGGGGGAAUUAGAACCUACACCCCAGGAGGUAAAGGCUCUGCUACAAGAGUAUAAGGAUGUAUUCCAGACUCCUAACUCACUGCCUCCAAGUAGGAGCGUGGAUCAUGAGAUACCUCUCAAACUAGAGGCUCAGCCCUUCAAACUGAAGCCUUACAGGCAUCCUCAUUACCACAAGAAGGAGAUAGAGAGGUAGGUUGCUGAAAUGUUGCAGAAAGGCAUUGUUAAGCAUAGUAACAGUCCUUUUGCCUCCCCUGUGCUGCUAGUCAAGAAGAAAGAAGGCACCUGAAGAUUUUGUGUGGACUACAGAAAGCUGAAUGAGAUCACUGUCAAGAACAGAUUUCCAAUACCCAAUAUAGAUGAAUUGUUGGAUGAGUUAUUAGGAGCUGUGUUUAAAACCAAGUUGGAUUUGACUGCAAGGUAUCACCAAAUCAGAGUGAAGCCACAGGAUAGCUUUAAAACAGCUUUCCAAACUCAUUGUGGUCAUUUUGAAUUCUUGGUAAUGCCUUUUGGCCUCACCAACGCCUCUGCAACUUUUCAGUCACUAAUGAAUCAGGUGUUCCAACCUUACCUGAGGAAGUUUAUCUUAGCAUUCUUUGAUGAUAUCCUAGUCUACAGUGCCACACUGGAAGAUCAUGUUCAUCAUCUAAGAACUAUGCUGGAACUUCUGAGAGGACAUCAACUAUAUGCAAAGAAAUCCAAGUGUGCAUUUGCUCAUAAAUAAGUUGACUACCUGGGACACACUAUUACUGAUAAGGGGGGUCAGUAUGGAUAAUUCUAAGGUCCAUAGCAUCUCAUAAUGGCCAGUACCAAGAUCUGUCAAGGAAUUGAUGGGGGUAUUUGGGACUUACUGGCUACUGUAGGAGGUUUAUUAAACAAUAUGAACUGGUAUGCAAACCACUGACUGAGCUUCUUAGAAAGGAUAAUUUUAAGUGGAACUCCCAAGCACAAACUGCAUUUGAUCUUCUUAAGGAGCCCAUGUGCUCAGCUCCUGUUCUUAAGCUGCCAGACUUCAAGCAGGCCUUUGUGAUAGAAACAGAUGCCAGUGGAGGAGGCAUUGGAGCAGUUCUGAUAUAGGAAGGACACCUCAUAGCCUUCCUAAGCAAGGCACUGUCAGCAAGGAACCUAGGCUUAUCAGUCUAUGAGAAAGAGCUACUUGCUUUGGUAAUGGCAGUUAACAAGUGGAGGCAUUACUUGGUUGGCAGUCACUUCAUUAUCAGGAUUGACCACCAGUCCUUGAAGUACUUACUGGAUCAGAAGCUGAACACUGCUCUUCAGCUAAAAUGGAUGACCAAUUUCAUAGGAUUAGAUUAUGAGAUACAGUACAAGAAAGGCACUGAGAAUCAAGUAGCAGAUGCACUAUCAAGGAGACCUGAUCAUGACCACAGCUUCCCACUUCACUCCUGCCUCGCCAUCACUACUAUUAGACCUGGAUGGAUUGAAGAAUUGCAGAAGAGCUAUGAGACUGAUAACCAGUGUCAGGAUAUCAUAGCUCAGUUAUCACUGGAUUCUAACUCACACUCUGACUGCACUUGGGUUGAUGGAGUACUUAGAUAUCAAGGCAAGAUCUAUAUUGGAAAUUCUAGUGACAUUAGAAGACAGGUCAUUCAGGUCCUACAUGCUUCAGCCUUAUAGGGGGACAUUCAGGUCAGAGAAAUUGUUGGCAGAAGGUAAAGAGUCUGUUCUACUAGCCAGGAAUGAAAGAAGAGGUGGUGGCAUUCAUACAGAACUGUGACAUAUGCCAGAGGAAUAAAUCUGAGCAUGUUCCCUACCCUGAACUGCUGCAACCAAUCACCAUUCCUAAACAAGCCUGGUCUCAUAUAUCUAUGGAUUUUAUUGAGAAAUUGCCCAAAUCACAGGGUUAUGAUACCAUAUUGGUAGUCAUUGACAGGUUCACAAAGUUUGGCCACUUUAUUAUGCUCACUCAUCCCUUCACAGCUAAGACUGUAGCUCAAAGUUUCCUGGACAACAUAUACAGACUGCAUGGUCUACCAGAAUCCAUCAUUACUAACAGAGAUAGGAUCUUUACUAGUGGCUUUUGGAGGGAGCUGUUCAAGGUUAUGGGAACAGAACUGCAUUAUUCAUCAUCCUAUCAUCCCCAAUUCGAUGGACAAAGUGAACGACUGAACCAGUGUGUGGAAAAUUACCUAAGGUGCAUGACUGGGGAAAUGCCUUCUCAGUGGGGCAAGUGGUUGGCAAUGGCUGAGUGGUGGUACAACUCUAUUUACCAUUCCAGUCUUAAAAUGACUCCAUUUGAGGCAUUGUUUGGAUACAAACUAGUACCCCUACCUCUAGGUCCUUACUUGGAAUUAGUGGUACCUGCAGCUUCUGACAUGAUCCAGGAGAGGAACAUGAUUGCCAACUGCAUCAAGGAUAACUUAGUCAAAGCUCAACAAAGAAUGAAGUAUUUUGCUGACCAACACAGGACUGAAAGGGAGUUUGCUGUGGGCGAUUGGGUGUUUCUAAAGCUGCAGCCAUACAGACAACAAACUAUUGCAAUCAGGAAGUGCCUCAAGUUGUCUGCCAAGUAUUUUGGUCCCUUCCAGGUAGAGGAGAAUAUUGGCUCAGCAGCCUACAAGUUGAAGCUACCUGCAGGCACCAAAUUGCACCCUGUGUUCCAUGUGUCAUUGCUCAAGAAGAAGUUGGGGCCACUACAAAAUAGUUCAACCAAGCUGCCAGAAUUAGACACUCAAGAUCAAUGUCCUCUGCAACCAGAAAUCAUCUUGAAGAGGAGGGUCAUUUUGCGAGGAGGACAGCCUGUUGUACAAUUUUUGAUCAAAUGGGAUCAACUGGACUAUGAAGAAGCUUCAUGGGAGGACAAGUCUUUUAUUGAACACCAGCUUCCCACGUUCCAGACUUGAGGACAAGUCUGAUCUUAAGCGGAGGGAAUUAUUAGGACAUGAAUUAGUUGUAAUAAAUGCUCAAAUUGGGCAUAAAUCAAUUGAAGUCAAACGAUGUCGUUUUGGGUUAGUAGUUAGUUAAGUCGAUUCAUUAGCAAUUUGCAGGUUGUUAGAAUUGGUUAUAAAAGGGGCCCACACAUGUGAAGAAGACAGUUUUUGAGUAAUAACAAAUUCCAUCUCAUUUUUCCUCUGAUUCUCUCUCUUUCUUUUCACUUCCUCUAAUUCUCCCUUUUCUCCUCUUUCCCCAAUUCGUCCCCAAAUUCAAUUCUAAUCAGUAAUUGAGAUUCAAGCCAAUGUGCUUGAGUUCCUGACACCUAGCCUCACCGACGAGUACGCCAAGCCAGGGUGCAAACACAACUGAUUAUUUUGAUUUCGGUUUUCGAUUUCGAAUCAUGGUCUAGUAAUGAAGAGGGGUUGAACCAUCUUUCCAUAGAAAAAAUGGACUAAUCAAUACUACGUCGUGUGCACUUUUUUUUUUACGCUAACAGGAUAUAAAAUAUAACCUGCAUUCAAAUUUCAUAUUAUACUUGAGAUCGGUUUUUUUUUUUUAAUGAUCUUUAUACUGAAUAGGAGAUUAACCCAACAAAACAUUGUUUGACAAUAAAAAAGAGAGAUUAUAUCAAGGUAGAUCAAACAAGUUGUCAGAACAAGUACACGUUAUUACAAUAGUUACAAUUCAACGAGAUUGAAAUUAACAAAUCCACCAGAAGAUCAUCAGAUGAUUGACACCAGAAAAUGAUCAAGUGAUUUAUUUAUUUUUGGUUGGAUAUGAAGCCAUUUUGUUGAUGCCACAAAGUCCUUCUGGCUUCCCUGUGUUUCUUUUCAUCCUUAUGUAUCCCUUCUCUCCCCACUUUGAACCCCACGAGUUCUUCACAAUGAUGUAAUCGAGACUUUUUGUUGAACCAUAUCCCACAGCCGCCACGCCAUGAUCAACUUGAGUUCCACAAUGCCCAUCAAAUACACCCUAUACCAAAUUGCUAUGGGAUCUUAGAGCCUUUAAGGAGAAUGAAAACUAGGAUAAUUAACACAUUUAAUGUAGUCAAUGAACCAAUGAUCAGCGCUAAGUGCAUAUCUAUGCAUUUAUAUCAUAAAAAAAAUGAUAAUCAGACAUGUAAUGGGGAGAUUGUAAGUUAAUAGGAUUAUAAUGGCAUCGCAGACAAUUUUUAUACAUUGGUAUAAAACUCUUUUAAUUAUUAUUUUUAUCAUGGAGAUUUUAAGCAUUUCGUGGAAGUGUCUAAAAGUAGGGGUGGAGUUGUAGACAUAUCCAAAUUUAGGACAAGAAUUAGUGGUUAAGAAUAGUCUUCCAUUUUGAAACUCAACAUUCAUAUUUUCCAACUUAAUAAUGAUGGGAUUGUUACUCAAAAGUUUGAAUGAUUCACACUUAGGCUAGACCAUAGUUUUGUUUUCUUUUUCUUUUUUCCCCCAACUACUAGGUUAAGAACUUAUUGACACCGUCAAAAAUGUGGAUCUGUUUUUAAGGGCUAUUGGUAAAAAGACAAAAGAGUGGAAAAUGGCAGAAAACCAACAAGUUGCAUACCCCACUAUAGAACUGGAAAUCUCUCCCAGAAGCCUCAAUAGCUAUGCUUAGGGGCUGGUGUGCAAGUGCUUUAAGAAGACUCUGCUCACUGUUCUGGGGAACAUCAUGGUAACCACUGAUUUGGACCAGCUCUGAUUCAUCCUGAGACAUCACAAGUACAAAAAUGGAGAAAAUAAGAAAAACAAAGGGAUUCAGAGAUGGUAAUACUCAGUUGUCAACUGUCAUUUUACCCUCUUCUCAUCACAAGUGCCUUCCUCCAUAAGGUAAGGGUAGUCUUCCUCUCUGUGAAGUCCACCAUUGGAGGCUAUGAAGGCAAAUGCAUAGUCCAUAAGACCUCCAUUGCAGCCAUUAUUGUAUGUAGUGUCACAGUCAAUGAGCUCUUGCUCAGAUAAUGAAGUCAAAUUUCCAGUAACAAUUUGGUUUAUGCCCUCAACUGCAGCUACUGUGGAGAAUGCCCAACAACUUCCUGCACAUUGACAAACAUAUGUCAAGCAAAAAAUUGGCUUAUUAUCACGCUGUGAAUCAGUGCCAUCAGUCAUUGAUAAUCUUACUAGAGAGUGGGCAGUGUUUGAGAAUUGGGAGUUAUGACCGUUUCUUAAUGACAGUUUAAGUCUUACGAGAUUUUUGGAGGCUAAUUUCCAAUCUUGUUAAUCAUAAUUUAUUUGCAGAAAAUAUGCUUUUCAAACCAAAAAGAAAGUGAAUUUCAAUGUAUUAUAAGGAAAUUUUUUUUGAAAUAUAAUUUAUAGAUUUUUAUCCAAAAAAAAGAAAAGAAAAAAGCCUGUAUGAAUUAUUAAAUUGUGUUGCAUACCACAUGAUCCUUGGUUCUUGACAGGUGUGACAGCUCCUUUCUUUCUCCAGUCCACUGACUUUGGAAUGUCCAUAACAUUUCCGUACGUAAAUUCUUCUCCCGGCGAUUGUCUCUUAGUAGCCAACUCACCAUUCAAUCCAAGAUACAUCUUUUUAAAUUCUUCAUGACUCAAAUCAGCAAACUCAUUCAAGCCAAGCCAGUAGUUGGCAAUGUCUUUGUUCCUCUCAUCAAUAUGCUUCAAAUUAUCUUUGAAAAUCUCGAACCUGUGCAACUUCUCUUCGAUGCUUUCGUAGAUUUUUCCGUGUUUUUGGAUCCAUGACUCGAAUAGAUUGAUGAGCUUGUCAAUGCAAGUCAAAUCAUCCGGUGUAUAGCCAACGAUCGAGAAAUCGCGACAAAAUGUGGUACUAGCUAAGAAUGACAAAGAAAAUAAAAGAAUUAGCAACUUAGCAUAUGAGGAGAAAGCCAUAGUUGCUUCGAGAGUUAAAAGGAAGAUUAUUUUGAUGUUGUGAAGAUGGGAAUGAGAGAUGAGAAUUGGGCAUACUUUAUACAAGUUUGAAUGGUUUUCAUGUGUUGCUUUCAAGUAAAGCUGGCAUGGUAUUCUAUGUUUUACAGAAUACUGAAACUUCAAGCUUGGUUCUGUUGGAAGGCUUUGAAUCAAAGCAUGUCUAUAUGACCCGUAACAGGUAGGUGAUUUCUAAUGUCCUCAUUUUGAAACAUAUGACAUCAUCUAAGAUGUUUUGGCUGCGUCAUGGCAAAGAUCUGGGGGUCUAAUCAAUUGAUGAAUCAACUUGGAAAACAGCAUUACUAUACUAAGUGAAACAUCAAACACCAAAUCCCAAAGCCAAUAGUAUGGAAUAUGGAGCAUCUUCCUCUUUGUUUUUAUCACUUGAUUUGUUUAGUUGUAGUCUAAUUUUAUUUCUUUUUCCUUUGGAAAAUUUGCUAGAAAGAGAUGUACCAAUGAGCAGCAGGGCCAAAUUUAUGGAACGAUUGACAAAGUGUGAAUAUUUUUGACAUAUUAAUGCCUCAUUUUGCCAGUUUGAGCAUUGUAUAUCCCAGAAAACAUCACCGUACAUUUCAAAAUUUGUGUUUCUGAAUAAUUUUGCACGAUUAUAGUGUUCCUGAACUAUAACUAUAACAACUAAUAAUCAUACAACUAGGUGAAAACAAUGUAAAUUAUUUUAAUGCUGACGUGUUGUAUUUUAGAUCGUAUCACUCAAAACAUCUUAUAAAACAAAACUGUAAGUAUUUUAUAGAUUUUAGUGAUACUACUACAAUCUUAUGCUCUAUUACAUAACAUAGAUAAACAUAUAUUUUUGUCCUUAUGAACUACAAGUUUAAAUUAUUAUUUCUUGUCGGUCAUAAUUCUUGUUUUAAUUUUUUUUCCUAAUAAAAAAGGAGAGAGAUUUAAAAAGCAGGAAAAGAGAUCUAUGAUAAAAGUAGAGUUUUGAUUAGAAUCCAAAACCUCUAUAUUUUAAAACCAUAUUAGUCAUACAACGCAUGGAUACAUGAUGAAAGUCGAGCUUUGAUUUAUUUCCAGAAUUAUAGAAACAUUUUGUAGGCGAAAUUAAAAUUAGCUUAAAUAUUAUGUAGCCUAUUAAUUAUUCAUAAAAUUUUUGCAAAAUUCAUCUUCUGGAGACCCAUCACGUAAAUAAAACAUGGAAAAUAUAAAGUACUCAAUUCCAAAACAGUAGUUAAAACCAAUCUAAGUUUCAAAAGAGGACACUUUUUUUGAGAGCAAGCGGGAGUCUCGAACUUGAGACCUCUCACCUACACUUUACACUCCCGUUUCACCUAACACCCCCGACCCCCCCCCCCCUCUCUCUCUCUCCCUCCAAAAAAAAGAGGACGCUAACAAAUAAAUAGUGCCAAAAACAUUGACGUCAUAUAGAUUGUCAUAAAUCUCUGAUUGGAAAGAACGAGUAUUGACCACUACAGAAUACACAUCUAGUACUAAGGAAAUAUGAUUACAUUACGUACAGCCAAAUAAUUAUGCUCUCUGUAAAAUGCUGAAAGUUAGCUCCUAAGGGUAAAUUUAGCCAGUUCAUUCAAUUUCACUUCUACAUUGGAAGACACUUGCAUGAGGGUGAUGCAUCAGAUGCAUAAAGAGGAG